rnacentral:lncRNA from 1 species
AGCAAGAGCUGGGGAGAUGGAAGGUCUAGGGCCGAGCUAAAAUCCGUUCCAGCAGGCAAGUGGGCCUCAUUCACUAAAGGCUAUAGAAAUAAUGCAGAGAGACAGAAUCGACCAGAAAGGUACAGACUGUGUAUUGUUUUGACCGUCAUGUAAUGAAUAUGUAGAGUCUGGAGUGUGUGAAUGAAGAGAAGAGACAGAGUUUAAAAAUGCUUAUUAUUAUUAAAAGGGUACAUAUAGACAGAAGCAUCUUCAUUUCCCAUAAUGACCAGACAUUUAUUUAUUUAUUUGUUUCUGUGUUUAUUAUAGUUGCUGCCUAGUUAUACAUAUACUCGGUUUAGGGGGAUUUUUGUAUGUCUUUCACUAAUUCAGUUAAUAAUAGCUUUACAAUCCUCCAGGCUGCAAGGAAGCGCUGUAGCAUGACCGGUACCUUAAAUCAACCACUAAUUCAUUAUCCCUUUGCUCUAAUAGUUUGUGGUAACAGAUUCCACCAUAAGUUUAAAAGCUCCAAUGGAAGAUCUUCCUCAUUCAUAUAUCGAAUAUGCUCCAGUCAUUAAACACAUUAUAUUGCUAUACAGAACCAUUGCAUGUUACUGGCCUGUCAGGAAGUGACAGAUUUGUCUCAAUGCCUGGCAAUAGCUGGCACUAUGUCUCUAUGGUAUGGGAAGAUUUAAUAUGAUAUUAUAAAAUGCUUAUUUUUGUAUAUCUAAACUGUUAUUCUAGCACAAUGAGGAUACAUGUCAUUUGAAAGGCUGAAUAAGAAUCUACAUUGACACAUCAGAGAGUGAUUUGCUUUUAAAUUUAGUUUCUAUAGGCCCUACCUACACAGAUCAUAAAAAAACAAAGCUUUUCCCCUGUAGUAGCAGCAUCUCUUGACUCAGAACUCUGCUGCAGACACACACACUGCUGGAGACCUGCAGCCAGGUGUGUUGCUGGGUUCCAGAAACACCUGGGGCUUCAGCCUUAAGACCCCGACACUAACAGAGAGAUUGACAUUUCCCGCCUUUUUAUGUCCUGUCCCCGGCAUCUUUACCCACGAACAGCGUGAUGCUGAUACUCUCCAGGAAUUCAAUGAAAGCAAAGCUGGAAAUAAACACAUGUUGUAAAGCCAGGUAUUCAAUUAUAUCCUGUCAUGCUACCUAACUAAUAGUGGGGUGAGCAGCAAAGCUUCUACCACAGUUUUGUUCCUCAACACCCCCUGCUGACAUUCACUCCCUGAGGAGUUAGUGGUUCCUGAACGAGUCACUAAACUACUUAUAUUUCUUUUUAUUAUAGGGGGCUGCUUUGAGUAGCUCAGCUCAGCUUACUGGUUGAGCUGUGUGCAACCUGAUCAGCUGUUUUACAGAUCUCAAUGUGAGACAAUCUGUAUCUGCAAGGAUUUACACUGUUUUCAACUUUUGUUCAAAGGGACACUAUAGUCACCAGAACAACUACAGCUUACCCCUUAAGGACGGCGGGCAAGCUAUGCUGUCCUUGGGGACCCCGAUCUAAACGCCAGGGGGCGGCAUAGCACGUCCCCGCCGUCCUUUCUACUUACCCGGCCGUCCUUUCUACUUCCCUGGCAGCCCAGGGAGUCCCCCUCCUUCCUUUCCAGCCCCCAUGGGCCAUGUGAUCACGAGGUCCUUGCGAGGACCUCGCGAUCACAUGGACAGCAUAGCCGGCAUAGCUGUCCAUGUCAGUGCCAGCAGGGGGAGUGCCUGUAAUGACAGGUACUCCCCCUGCUGCCUGUAAAAAAAUUAAAUAAAUGUUAUAACAGUUUAAAAUUAAAUUAUAUAUACUUAGAUCGUAUAUAUAUUUAUUAUAUAUAUAUAUAUAUGAUCUAAGUGUAAAUAUAUAUAUAUAUAUAUAUAUAUAUACACAAACACAUAUACAUACAUACAAAUAUAUACACAUACAUAGUCUAAGUGUAUUUUAAUAUUAAUAUACAUAUAAUUAUAUAUAUAUAGCUAUAUAUAUAUAUUAAUAUCAAAGUACACAUAGAAUGUUAUUGAUUAUAUAUAUAUAUAUAUAUAAAAUUAUAAAUAUAUAUAUUUAUAUAAAAUAUAAAAUAAAUAUAUAUGUAAAUAUGUUAAAAAAUAAAAUAAAAAAAUAAUAAAAAAGAAAUUAAUUUAAAAAAAAUAUAUAUAUGUGCAAUUUCGUUCUAACUGUAUUUUAAAAUAAAUAUAUAUAUAUUGAUAUCAAAAUACACGUAGAACGAAAUAAUAUAUGUUGGAAAGGCCAAUUGGCCUAAAUUUGUGGGAGGAGUUAUGACCCUAUAUAAACCCUACCCCGCUACUUACCUUUGCCGUUCAAGCUGUUUUGACUGUCACCAUAGUUAUCUGCAUUUCCUGUCAGCUGUUCCCGCCAAAAUUCUGCAGCAAGCUAACAGUCUCCCUCCAGCAGCAUCAGCCUUCCGGGCCCAUCCACCGGCUGCCCCGCGGCUUUCCUGACUCGCUACCUGGCUGUCGAGCUUCCGGUCACGAGACCGGCACGCAAACGAAAGCUUCAACGUGGGGAAUAGCGUUCGGCUAUUUCACACAUUCGGGUCUAAAAACACGGGGAUUGGCUCCCUAAAUAUUACUUACCUGUUCGGUUAAUCCACCGUUCAUGUACUUCUGCGUUCGGGCAAUUUUUAGCUGACCGCAGAGGAGACAUGAAUUUCGUUCUUUCUUACGCUAUCAAAAUUCUACCGAACGCUUACACUCACCUUAUGUUCACCUGUUUCUCACUUUCGUUAGACGAAUCACAUACAAACGGCUGGGUCACUAGCAUUUCAUUUUCAUUAAUCUAAAACUCACGCGGUCGUAUUAUAUUUCUCUCGCACGUUCGGUAGCCUAAUGCAUAAGGUCUAUGCACUUUAAAAAUUUUAUAUUUAAGUAUGUUCCUCUAUGUAUGAUUUUAUAUAUGUUCACAGCACUACCUACAUUUUUCCCUUAUCCUAAAUGGCAUCUUUCACCAGACUUUGUCACAUUUAAUUAUGUAUACAUCCCAGGCAUAUUCUCUUAAAGUAACAGUCACCCCUUAACGAUUAAGUGACUAGCCCCACAAACCUCUUAAAGUUAUCAACUCCACGCUCACUUUUCCAGUAGCUCUUAUUUGUAAAUCUCUGUUUAUAUUGUAACGCUAUACUCAGGUUCCUUCAUUUUAAAAAUGUUUUAGGUUGUACUACUUAUUUAGUCAAGAAGACUCCAGGAGGUGGUUCCAGUAUCCAGUAUCCAGUAUCACGGUAUCAGGUAAAUAAGGUUAAAAAAAUUUUACGUUUCUCCUGAGGCCUCAUUUCAGCCUCCACGGCCUUUUUUACAAUACCCUCCCACCUCCCAAAGUGGGCUCGAAAACUUUAAACACACCAGGUUAAAAGAUGCCUCACUCUCCAGGUUACUAUUAUUAAAUGUUAUAAAAAUUCAGUUUUAAUUUCUACAUAUCAUUACUUAGACCUGCACCAUCGCGUAGAUUCACUACGCCUUCAACGACCAUCAGUCUACCUGGUUCCCGACGUUCCAGUAGGUAUCCCUAAUCUUACUCACUACUAUUACGUCCUUCUAAGGCCUCACUCCUCCUUCAUAUCUGUCAAAUAAUAUAGCUCAGUUGUGGGAUCCCAGGGGCUUGUCAAAAAAUUUGGACCUACGUUCAGGUCCCUCUGAUUACACAAGCGUUUAUGAUACGAUUUUUCUGUUACACACCAUUCCAUACGUUCUACAUUUUUACACUUGGAUUACCAAUGGCACGCCUCUGGCCUACUAGCAUCUUUCUUACCCUAGGUUCCUGGACUGGACCUGUUCUACAAAGUAUAUAUAGACAUAUAUAUUGAAGUCACCCUGAGCAAUUUCCAAAUAUACAGAACAAACACUCAGGUCAGUAUCUACAUACGUUAAAUACUUCCUUCAAGAGACAAGCCCCCGUCAGGGUAGAGAACUGGCUUUCAGGGUCAGGUGCUGGCCCUAACUUCCCCCAAUAAUCCUGCGGUCCGCGAGGUCUACACCCCUACCUCAUACACGGAGGUUCAGCCCCACGACCAAAUCAUAGCUAGCCACCUCGCUCGCUUUUCUUUAGGGCUACAGUUAGGGUUUCCCAUGUCACGGCCACACGUUUUUGAAUCUCUUACAGUCACCGAGAGGCCGACAUCCUGCCACCCCCUUCUGGUGGCCAAAAAACCCUCUUGGUCCAAAUCAUAGGUAGAGCCUCUCACCGCCGCUUGGCAAUAGCAGGGCCUCACCUGUCACUUGGUUCUAAUUUUAAUUCUUCACUUCGGCAUUAGCUAGCAGGCCAGUUCUCCCUAGGUCUCAUCCCACCUCCACUAUACACUACUUAUCCAUAUCAUUAUUCCUUUCAGGAUGUCUCAAGAACCAAUCAUCGAUCCCCCAUCAGACGAUAUACCCAGCACGCCAGCCAGGCCUGGGUCUCCGGUGGAAUCCCUCACUCCUUCUACUCCCAGAUCCCUAAGAUAUUGGACAAUUCCAAAAAUAUCGGCUGAACUUAGGCUCAGGGGAAUCCCCUUUCCAGCCACCGCCAGAAAAGCAGAACUUUAUAAACUGCUGACGACUCAGGCCAACGAACCAAGGCCUGGCACGAGUUCACAAGGGUCUUCAGUUGGCUUCUCUGAUUCCACCCAGGAAACUCUGACGGCUAUACUGGCCAAUCUGCAAUCCAUUAACAGCAGGUUGCUGAAGGUGGAAUCAGCCAUAGCCACUCCAGGUGACUUAAGAGCCCAGCAGUCCCUACACCGGUAACUUUGACCGUUCUGACUGCCAUACCCCUCAUUUCCCCUCCCCCACCAGCCACUACCACUCCCACUACCCACACCUCACCAGCCCACUCUGUUCCGGCUUCCAUCAAGAAAGAUAUUCUUGAUGGAAAAGACGUCAAUUUAAUGUCCCUCCCAAGACGUCUUAGAAAAUAGAGCUUAUAACUACGGGGACAUUUCGGUUGUCUUAAGAGCCAGAGACCCACGUUUGAAUAAAAAACUCACCAUCCCACAGUUUGUUAUCGCGUUCGGCACUUAUCGCGACGUUAUCUGCAUGGUGUACCCACAUAGGAGAGAAGAGCUUGAUUUAUAUAUGCACAAGGUGGUUGAUUUGGACAUCAAGUAUGGAGGGUCCUCAUUUUACGAUGACCACAAAUCAGUUUCGGCCAAGGCAGCUACUCAUCUGACACAAUUCAAUAUUAGAAUCGAUUGGUGUCAGAUAGAUACUGAGUUAUUCUGCCGUCAUUUUGCUGGUCUGAGGCCCCCAUCUUGUGCCUCUUGUGGUUCUACUUCACACUCCACCGAUCUAUGCCCUGGGGAUGCAGACCCUUCCACUUCCACUCUUUCACUCCACCACUCCCUCACCCCACUCCCUAGACAGGAAGGUGUCCAGAGAGACAAGCUGGGCAGACCCAUCACCUUCUUGGGCAAGGCGCAGGUGUGCAAUAACUUUAACACAGGCAAAUGUGCAGCUACAGCGCAUGCAGGUUGUUGCACAUCUGCUCCAUAUGCUUCAGAGCCUACACCAAGUCUGACCCGUCUGACACCUAACAAAUAAGCUGGUUCAGCACACAUUAAAAAUUAUACAAUGCCACCAUGUCCAGAUAAUGGCCCUUUCCUUUCGCAACCUUACUCAUCUCGGUGGGCCGCUUACUUGCACUCCAAGCAAUAAAGUUUGAUUUGACAUUUGGUAUCCUUUUUCUUGUUCCUCCAGAUCAUGGAAUAGUUUCAGUCAUUCCAAAUGUAUAUUUUUUGUUAUAAUUUGCCUAUAUUCUACUAUUCCAGCAUGUAGGGAUACAUGCUUAAACAAGAUAGAUAUCUUACACCUCAUUCUCUACACUUCCUCUACUCAGCUGCUAACACUCUUUUUAUGCUCUUAAAUUGCAGGUCUCCGGCCGGGCUCCCCCUCCGACACACCUUCAAUCAGCCAGGACGCCAUCGUUCCUACGGCUAACCCUGAUUUAAACUAAAUAUUACUCCACGUACAAACACUCACGCACCACGCACUGUCUCCCAACACCACUAUCUCUUACGGUAGAGCACUGACUAUAUUUAACAAAUUCACAGUCGAGUUUUGCUUACAAGGUGACCUUUCCAUCAAAACCAUGGUGGCUUUUGCCUCCUUUUGCCAUUUACACAUUAAACUUUCUCAUAAUACCAUCAAACUCUACCUCACCGGAGUACAACACCGCAUCCUCACUAACUUCUCUAACCACGCUCCUUUUCUGCCUUCCUACCCCAUUAAGAAAAUCCUCAAAGGUAUUUUUAAGGUCACAGUCCCCCCUAACACGACUAACCUACCAAUAGACCUCCAAUAUUCCGUCUCCUAAGCGACUUAUUGGACAAAUCCCCGUUUGACCCAAAAAAUACCAAUAUAGUCAUGAAAUCUCCCAUUUUUUUUUAGCUUUCUAUGGGUUCCUCAGACCUAGAGAGUUCACCGUGGUACGUCAAGGAGACACAGUACAAUGCCUCAAACUGUCUCACUUAAAGAGAGUAGACGACCAUUUUGUACUCUCUUUGCCUUCUACCAAGACCAAUCACUCUGCCUACCCCACUAUCAUUCCCCUCUUCCCUACCGAGAAUUUGUGGUGCCCUGUACAUGUUCUGGAUAUGCUCCUGGUUUCUCACCUCACGCACUCACCAGAUACUCCACUACUUCUACUCCAAGGUCACCCACUCACCACAGCUAAAUUUAUGUCACACAUCAGAAUUCUAUUGUCUAGGUUAGGCUACAACCCAGCUUCCUUCUCUGGUCACUCAUUUCGCAUCAGCGCAGCAUCAUCAGCCUCUAGCACUAACACCCCGGUACACAUCAUUAAGAGGCUGGGACGCUGGAAAUCCUAAAUAUACAACUCCUACAUCCCUCAACCAGAAAGGGAGCUCAGGCAGGCUUUCAGAAAUCUCACAGUUUAAACUUGCAAUAAAGUGUGUUAACUUUGAAUUCCUUUUUGCCCUCUUUUUUACAGGCCUACUCGUACGUUGGUUUCAGCACACCUCAACCAACUUUGCUCCUCCUCUACAUUCCAUUAACAUAAUAGAGAUUCCGAGCACAAGUUGGAAGGCCUGAAUUUGUGGGAGGAGUUAUGACCCUAUAUAAACGCUACCCCCCUACUUACCUUUGCCGUUCAAGCUGUUUUGACCCCACCCACCUUCACCCUCCUUUACACAUUUCUCUUUGUGGGCCCUCUUUUUUACAGGCCUACUCGUAAGUUGAUUUCGGCACUCCUCAACCAACUUUGCUCCUCCUCUACAUUCCAAUUACAUAAUAGAGAUUCCGAGCACAAAUAUAUCUAUAUACAUAAGUAUAUACGUAUAUAUCAAUAUAUAUAUAUAUAUCUAUACAUAAAUAAAAAUAAUUUUAAAAAGUUAUAUACAUAUAUAUACAUAUAUAUAUAUACACACGUAUAUAUAUAUAUAUAUAAUAAUUCUACGUAUAUAUUUAUGUAAUAAUUUUACAUAAUUACGUCAUUUUAUUAAUUACAAUUUGCGGGACCUGCCUGACAACCCAGGCGGAAAAUCCUGGGAAUUUAAUUUGCUAGCACUAUAAUUAACCCUGUAACUUUCCAAGACACCAAAAAACCUCUACAUGGGGGUACUGUUUUACUCUGAAGUCUUUGCUGAACACAAAUAUUAUUGCUUCAAAACAGUAAAAUGUAUUACAAUGAUGAUGUCGUCAGUGAAAGUGAAAUUUUUUGCAUUUUUCACACACAAAUGGCACUUACAGGGAUGAUAUAAUUGUUGUGAUACGUUUUACUGUUUUGAAACACUAAUAUUUAAAUAUAUAAGGCUUGGCUUUCAGUUUUUUCACAUUGAAAUUUGCCAGAUUGGUUACGUUGCCUUUGAGACCGUUUGGUAGCCCAGGAAUGAAAAUUACCCCCAUGAUGGCAUACUAUUUGCAAUAGUAGACAACCCAUAGUAUUGCAAAUGGGGUAUGUCCAGUGACAUACUCUGCAAUCAUGUCUUCAUGAGAGGUUCACAAAUGAAUCCCACACGAACCUACUUACGGUAGGUACCCCUGACUGUAGCCAUGAACUGAUCCAAAAGCCUGUUAUAUUAUAUUAGGGCUCUGACCUGAUUGAGGGUAGAUACUGCCUAAGCCAAUUGGAUGACAAAGAACAUCUGGCUGCCAGAGUAAUUUUUAUGUAAAGAGAGGAGAUACGACCAAGGAUCUUUCCUUGUUUGGUGCAAAACAUAUGUGCACAACAUAUGCAGUAGGUACCCCUAUGUCCACAUCCUCUCCUACAAAAAUCACUAGGGGUUUUUAAAAAUUUUGAAGUAACUUGUCAAGGGUCGUAUACCAUUGCAAUAGAAUUUUAUGAAUUUAUUCCUGGAGAGAUAUGGAUAUAGAAACAGAAGCUGCUGUUUCCCAUAUGGCCUCCCACAUCUCUUCUUUCAACUCCUUUAUCACAUCAGCCUCCCACUGUCUGAUAUACGCAAGUUCCCCCCCAAACUCGAUAGUGUGAGCAUAUGUAGAUGUAAAUAAUGGUGGAUAGUAGUUCCUUUUGAUUGGCAUCCGACUUGAAGAAGUUUUUGAACAUAGUGAGUUGCUUUUUAACUGCCAUCUUAAACUCUUUUCUACAGUAGAGUCUUAGACAUAUAAAUUGAAAGAAGUCCCUUGGGGUCAUAUGGACCAACCUAGAAAGAUACGCAAAAUAUAACAGUGUAUCGCCCUUCCAUAGAUGGUGAAAUCUCUGAAUCCUCACUUACUCCAAGUUUCUAAAAUCCCUUGCACUCAUCCCAGGGGGAAGUCCUGGUUUCAGAGAUAGAGGGUUAUAGGAGAUGUUACCUUUGAGAGGGCAAACUGGACUCUAAUCCUAUCCCAUAUGCAGAUGGAAUUCAGGAUGGCAGGGCGCUGUGUCAUCAGUAUUGCUGUCUGAGACCUUCCCAGCCACAAUAAAACUGUGAGAUGUCCGACCCCUUUAGGGAAGAUUCCAUAUCCACCCACCUCUGCAAUCCAGGGAGAGCCUGAUAUAAUACAACCUGGGAUGGUUGAGCUACAUAGCAAUACAUACAUGGAAUACCAAACCUCCCCCUCUGUGUCCAUAUUAUCCUAAAGUGUCUUGAUUGAAGGGAUAUAAUAAGCUUUAAAUAGGGCUGUUGGGUCCGAGAUAAGGUUAAUCCCUAUUACUAUUUGAGCAUCUCUCGCUGCAUUGAUAGGCCGUAGGAGGUUUGUAUGUUAUGGUUGUUGGCAGUCAAUAUGUUCUAGAUUUAUCAAAAUUAUUUUUGCAUCCCGCCAAAUCUCCAAUUGUUGUGAUAGUGUAACACAUGGGAGGUAGUGAGGUGAUUGGGUCAGAUAGUGUGAGCAGUACAUCAUUGGCAUAGACCGACAAUUUAUAAGUGUUUGGCCCCACCCGAAUCCCACUUAUAGUCAAUAUGUCUAAUCUGGUGCAACAGAGGUUCUAGGGAUAUUACAAAUGGGAGGGGAGAGAGGGGGCAACCCUGUCUAUUACCAUUAUACAGUGCAAAUGGUUUACAAACCAUGUCCAGCAUCACUAACUGGACUUGGAGGUCGGAAUAUAGAGCAAAAACUGAGCUGACAAAUGAUGGAGGGAAGCUUCAAUGCUGCAGGAAGCCAAACAAAUAAGUCCACUUGACCCUAUCAAAAGCCUUCUCUGCAUCACGUGAUAGGACUAGGGCAGGUAUCUGAUUGUCCCUUACCACCCAUAAAAGAUCCUCUGUUUUCCAAGUUAUUUCAAUCAGUUGCCUUUCAUGAAUGAACCCGGCAUAAUGAUUAAGUCUCUAGAGCAGGGGUUUAAGUCUAGCCACCAAAGCAUGUACUAGAAUUUUGGCAUCAGUAUUCAUUAGGGAAAUGGGUCUAUAGUUCUCAACUUUUAUGGGGUCCCGUCCCUCCAUUGGCAGAAGCACUAUAUCUGCCAUUUUGAUCUCUCGUGACAAGUGUUCCUUCCCUCUAAGGGCAUAAAAUGUUUGGUUAGGUGUUGAAUGAGAGUUUCCUGGAAGGUGUUAUAAUAUGUACCACAAUAACCAUCUGUGCCCAAUGAGGAAAGCACAUACUCAGCUGAAGUAGGUCCUCUGUAUAUGAGAUGUUUUGGAAAUAAUUUUCUGGAGUAUAAUUAUAAAGAUUACUAUAAAAGGAAGUGAAAUCAUUCCGUGCUGAAGUUGGAGAUGUGAGUAUAUCCCCAGACUAACUCUUUAUAGUCGUGAUAGCGCUUAGAUCUGGGUUUAAGGCUAUUAAUCGGUAAGGAAUUCAUCUUAUUGGUUUUUCAAAAAAUUAUCGUUUACUCCACAAAAUAGAUCUGGCUACAUUAUCCAUCAGUUUUUUAACAUUUUAUUUAUUGUUUUCAGUAAUACACACAUGUACUCUAUGAUAAGCGUAUACAAUCUCCAAGGUUUCAUAUUUACAUUUCAUACAGUUCAUAGCAUACAUGCUGGUUAGAAUGAAUUAGCUGCAACACAUUGCCAGAUGCACAGUUUAGUAUCUUUUCUGGUAGGAAGGAUUAUUAAUUGCCUUCUCCACAUGCAUAUGUUUAUAUAUAUAGUGUGCAUAUUUUCAACUACAUAAAAAAAUUGUACUUUUUUUUUUUUAUCCAAACCAAAACAUUAAAGGACCACUAUAGUGCCAGGAAAACAUACUUGAGCUGCGCGCGCAUUCAGCCGGUCGCAUAGGAAAUGCUUUCCUAUGGACGCUUGCGUGCUCUCACUGUGAUUUUCACAGUGAGAUUCACGCAGGCGCCUCUAGCGGCUGUCAAUGAGACAGCCACUAGAGGAUUUGGGGUACGGCUUAACCCAUUUAUAAACAUAGCAGUUUCUUUGAAACUGCUAUGUUUAUAAAAAAAAUGGGUUAACCCUAGCUGGACCUGGCACCCAGACCACUUCAUUAAGCUGAAGUGGUCUGGCUGCCUAGAGUGGUCCUUUAAAAGGAAUACUAAAGAGAAAAAAAAAAGAAUUUACCCAUAUUGUUGUAUGACAGACUGGUGGAUUUUUAUCAACUCUCAAUUACAUUCCCAUGUGCUCAUCUCCCUGCUCCUAAUCCUAGUGUCAAGGUAUAAGCCUAAAAGUGCUACCUCCAGUGUGAAUGGAAGUUCAUGUUUACAGCCCAACUGAAGAUCUAUCUGCAUGCAAGGGUCAAAACUGGACAGUCCCACCUAAUACGAGCCGUAGUUCCUGUUUAGCUAGGUUUCCUCCAACAGAUGGAAGAUGGGCCUGGGAAGAUACGCAAAAGUCUAAAGGGGUUCAUGUACCUGUGGCGGACCACCGUAGUAUCACCGCUAUGGAUUCCCUUUCCUGUAGUAUUAUAGCUCCUUCCAGACGAAGUAGUGAUUAUAGCUGGUAUAGCUUUCCCCAACAUAUUAGUCGAGGCUUAAUGCUGGGAGUAGAUCUGGUUUUAUUAGGUUCAACACGCUCACUUAUACACAGACCCCCUAUUGACAAUACAGUGAUCCCGCCAGUGGCGUACAUACCAGUAUGUACCCACUGUGGCCAGCCUCUUCUCCUGAGGGGCCCAGGGCACACAUUCAAACCGCCCAUAGGAAAGCAUUACUCAAUGCUUUCCUAUGGACGUUCAAUGAGACAGCCACUAGAGGCUGGAUUAACCCUCAGUGAAACAUAGCAGUUUCUCUGAAACUGCUAUGCUUUCAGCUGCAGGGUUAAAACUAGAGGGACCUGACACCCAGACCACUUAAUUGAGCUGAUGUGAUCUGGGUGUCUGUAGUGGUCCUUUAAGUGUAUGUGUAUCUGCAUGCACUGGCAUACAUACCGCAGUCGCAGGGGUCGCAGCCCUGUGAUCCCCUGCGAACAGGUGCCCGCUGCCAUGUGUUGCGGCCCUGGCCCACGCAGAGUAAGCGCAUGGGGGCGGGACCCGCGGAUCAGUUUUCGCACUGGGGCCCCAUGGGUUGUGUGUACGCCACUGGAUCCCACCAUUGUGCCUCUAAUUCUGGGAGAAGAUUGAGUUGCUGCUGGCUAAACUAAUUAUCUCCCGGAUACAGACAGCACAAUACAAAAACACCCCCAAAACAUCAUAAGAACAUACAAGAGCCCCCCACAAAUUAUGCAUCACCGGAUAGCUCUGAUUCAAGCACCCAUGUUGCCAAAAAAGCGCCCGGAUCCAAGAUGUGACAAAACGCAACCAGGGUAAAGUUUUGACCAGCCACACACGUGGUCCAUGCCAAAAAAGUGUUCCACAACAAUUAGUGCUUCGGCCAAUCAAAUGUCAGGAACUGCAGUGGAUAAAGUAAGGGGUGUCACGAAAGCACCCUACUUCAAGAGUGUGCGUGACGUAGUUGUGGUGGUGGUGGUGGUGAAAGGGUUAAAGUUCACUAUUUGUCUGCACUAGACCGGAAAUAAAGAUUAAAAAACCUUAACACCACCCACACUUAACCAUAAUAAUAUAAAUAUUACUAUUUUAACGCUGCCACCAUCAAGACAUUUAUAAAUGUGGUGCCUUGGUUCCCCAGGUAACUGAAUAAUAAAAACCCACCAAAUACAACUUAGCACAACAACUAUGCAAUUGCAAAACACUAUUUAGUCUUUUCAGGUAAAGUGAUUCUUAACCAGACAAAGGCAGAACUUAAUAAAGGAAUAUUUAUUAUGAGCAAAAAAUAGUCACAGUGCAUACAAAAAAUAGAUGAUAAACAUAUUAUUUACACCAACAACAGAUAAAAACAAAAAGGAUAAAAUAACAGAAGUCUUAAUCACUUAUUCAGGUUUUCAAAAUAAAACUUCUGCCCAGGAGGUCUCUGGCAAGGAAGAUGGUGACUCACUCAGCAUCAGAUGUUGACCCCAAGCAAGUCCUAACACAUUUCAGAAUCAUUAGAUAUAUACCCUGUGGAUUACCAAGUUAAGGCAGACCUGUAGAAACAAUAAGUUACCAGCCUCUUGUGUUCCAGACCAACAUCACUACAAAUUUGGUUCUAUCUUCUCUUAUGUACUUGCCACACAAAUAAGAGUUGCAUCUAUGAAUUUGUUAAAAUUUUUCCAGUCCAUAGAUAUGUCACAAUCCUUACAUGUCACAAAAUAUAGUGGACAUCACCAUCCCUUCCUUUCUGGGUAAGUUACGCAAAUCAUGUCUAGGCUUGAUUAGAAGACUGUACCCGUCCCAUUCCAAAUAUAACAAAAAUGAGGCUCAAUUAUUAUUAAGUGGGCAAGUACUGGAGCACAAGGAUUGUUUUUCUUUUUUUUCUUGAAAGCUAGUGAUCAUUAACAUAUCAAAGAACUCAACUCAUCAAUUAAGAGGUACAGGCCGUAUGGCUGAAGUCAGCUAGUUUACAUUGGAACUAGAUAUCCAGGCAUCUCAAGUGUAGAAUCUGACAUUCUGCAGAGCCUUUGAUUAAUUCCUAUACCAUUUACAUUAUUACUUCUGCCAUCUGACCUUGCAACCAAGAGGCCAAUUCAUAUAUGCACUACAUAAAUUACAUUAAAUGGUAAUAUUUUAUUGUGCAACAAUGAAUAUCCACUCUUGGCGUGACAAGGGGCACUCCUCCUGGCUCCCAGGGAGUGAUUGUUCCCUACUGAUGUAGAAGUAGGGGAAAACUGGGGUGGAAAUUUGGCUGGAAUUAGAGCUAAGCGUGACCGGACCGGAGUUCCAGAUGAGUUGCACAUAAUUCCCGCUACAGUCUUUGCGGCUUUCCAGACUUCAGUUGCGGAGAAGGCGCUCCAGGGCAGUUCGUUGGGAGGAGACAGUACAGGGAACCAGGAGCAUUGAAUAUAGUCCUUUUGAGUGAUAAGAUAUGGCAAAGUCAACACAAUGAGGAUAGUUUGUCAAAGUACCAUCGCAAUAUUAUUUUCUUAGUAAGUUCCAGAUAAUUAGUACAUUUAGUGGGAGGCCAAGAUUGUUCCAUGACACUCGUCCAUUCCAUAUCUGAGAACUCGCUAUCUAGGUCUCUGUCCCAUCCCUUCCUGUAUGUUGGGAGUGUAAUUGUAACGUUCACUAGGGAACCCUAACACGCAGGCAGGACAGAGUAGAGAGAAUUGCAAUACCGAUCCUUAGAAUGUUCGGGUUAUGCAAAAAGAUAUAGUCAAAACACAAGCCGAGGUCAACGGAAACAGAGAGAUGGAAUAACGAGAGACAAAGCCAAAUAUCAGUAACCAGGAAAUCCAAAUAACAGGUGCAACGCUUAAUGGUAAACCAAAGACCACAAUAGGGCACUGAGGCAAGGGAGAGGUUAGCUUAUAUACACACAGGGUGUGUCUGAUUGGCAAUCUCCAGUUAGUGUUAACCACAACACAUGGGAGAAAUUUCUUCCCUCCCUUGUGGUCUCUGAGGUCAUCACUGUGAACUGGGUCACAUGACCGCGUGCAGCACACAUAUAAGGAAGCUGCUCUGGAGUGUGCAGCGUCAGACACACUGCCAGUCUGGAGAUAAGGAUCAGAUUACACUCGCUGUGAUGAGGUACACAAGGUCGCCGAGAGUGGCGCAAAGGCAUGGGACCUGACAGCAUUCAAAAUAGUUUUGUAGGGGCGGAGCUAGCCAUGACCUGGACCGGACACCAUUUUUGGUAGCUCCUGUAAUGAUACCUUACCUUUACCCACCAGACCCACGCACUGCGGCGUUCUCCCUUGCUGUUUCCGGGAGAACGCACAGUCUGUCUGACGUGGGCCGCUCGCAACACACCUCUUCUUAUGACGCGGUGUCAUCAGAAUAUUGCAGCGGAAAUUCAAACGUGGCCACGCUCCCGAACCUUUUGGGGGCGUGGCUUUAAAGUAAAAUACACCUCACUAUAAAAAGGCGCCCUAGUGUGGUUCUUGUGUGUUCCCUCUAGUGCUCUUGCGAUUUUUUACUGUUUUCUGGUAUUUUGACUCUUGGCUUUCCUUACUGACUCCUCUCCUCUCAGGUUCCCCGAUUACUGGCUUGGUUAUUUCUCGUGUAUUCCGAUCUCUGUACUCCCUCGACCUUUGGCUAUUCCUUUGACUACUCUUUGACGUUGAGCCCGGCCACCCUAAGGUCCGGUAUAAGUCUCUUUCUGGGUUACUCUCUGCGUGAAGGGGUCACUGUCGUGACAUUACACUAGGGCCAUGGACCCGGCAGGUGUUAACCCUCAUGGGCCGGUUCCUGAUAACCGGUUUGAGGAGCUAGACCAUCGCAUGGACCAGUUCGCUGUCGCUGUUCAAACCUUGUUAGCCCAUACUGCCCAUCUCCAGCCGGAGGAGCAUAUAUCUGGUCAUAGACCCCAGGAACCUCAUAUGGAAAUGGUUGCACGGGGUGCUUCCAACCAUGCUACAUCCCCUCUUCGUUAUGUGGGUGAUCCCAAAGGAUGCUGUGGUUUCCUAAACCAGGUCAGCAUUAAUUUUGAGCUUCAUCCUAGAGCUUAUCCAACCGAUAGAUCGAAGAUUGGUUACAUAAUAACCUUGUUAGUUGAUAGAGCAUUAGUUUGGGCUAAUCCUUUGUGGGAGAACGACAAUCCCAUAGUUUUCCACUAUGCAGAGUUCGUCGCGGCCUUUAGGAGACAUUUUGAUCCCCCUGGGAGACAAACUAAUGCUGCCAAAACCCUAUUACGAAUGAGACAGGGGUCUCGUUCUUUGGUCGACUAUGCCCUAGAAUUCCGCACUCAUGCGGCCAAGGUUAGAUGGAAUGAGCAGGCUUUUGUGCAUGUGUUCAUGAAUGGACUUUCUGAUAAGCUUUUAGAUGAAGUGGCUACCAGAGAUCUACCUAAUGUGUUAGAAGAAUUAAUCACUUACUUAGCUCAUAUUGAUGAACGUCUCCGGCAUAGGCAAAACACCAGGGAUAGACCUAGACGUGUGCCGGAACAUCUGGCCUUGACCUUCCCUUCAUCUGAGGCAACCGCCGUCGCUCCCACAGAACAAAUGCAAUUGGGAACCACGCGGUUGUCUGAGACCGAGAAACUAUAUAGACGAAGGGAGGGACUUUGUAUGUAUUGUGUGAAGAAAGGGGAUUCCCGCUUAACCUGUCCAAGCAGGCCGGAAAACUCCAGCACUAGGAGGACAGGCCUUGGGUGUAAUGUGUAUGUCCUCCUUCAAUGACAAAAAAGAUCUCAGGUUUCUUCUACCAGUAGUUAUCGAAUGGGAGGAAAAGAAAGUACCAACCAUUGCGUUAAUAGAUUCUGGGGCAGCCGAAAAUUUUGUUGAUCACAAAUUCGGUCAGCAUCAUGAUCUCCCAUUUCGAGAAAGAUCAACACCCUUGGCCGUUGAGGCCAUAGAUGGUAGACCACUGUCAAUCCCUUUUAUUACUCAAGAAACUAAUCCCAUAGUCUUGACUGUAGGUUCCUUGCAUCAGGAAAUUAUAACUCUACAACAAAUAACUUCUCCCACCUUUCCUGUAAUCCUUGGUUUUCCUUGGCUCACCAAGCACAAUCCUUUAAUAGACUGGGAGAGAAAAGAGAUUGAAAAAUGGGGUGAUUUUUGUUUUAAACUGUGUAUUAUUCAGGUCAAGCCUGUAGGUCUACUUAAUGUUCCUACUAUGGAACCCUUAACCACCCAAAUACCCAAACAAUAUUCGGAUCUCAAGGCAGUCUUUGAAACAAGGGAAAACAGAAAAAUUACCACCCUAUCGUUCAUACGACUGCACUAUUGACUUGUUACCUGGCACUAUGCCCCCUAGGGGUACCGUGGGUGGCUGAAAAUAAAGUACUAGAAGAGUACAUCACAGAGAACUUAAGAAAGGGUUUUAUUACUAAGUUUUCCUCCCCGGCCCGGGACGUUUUUUUCUUUGUCAUCUUUUUAAACUAAAUAACCAUACGAAAUGCUUAUCCUCUACCUCUAAUAACUGAGCUUUUCGACAGGUUGAAGGGAGCAACCAUAUUCACUAAGUUGGAUUUACGGGGAGCGUACAAUUUAAUUAGAAUCAAGAAAGGACAUGAGUGGAAGACUGCUUUCAAUACUCGCUAUGGUCACUACCAAUACAGGGUUAUGCCCUUCAGCUUAUGAAACGCCCCUGCAGUCUUCCAAGACUUUAUAAACAAUGUAUUAAGAGAUUAUCUACAAAUGUUUGUCAUUGUUUAUUUAGAUGAUAUACUAAUCUACUCUGUAGCGGAGUAGCAGGGGUUAAUCCAAGAGCUCUCCGCUCGGAACAACGUUUCAGCAUACAAGAAUACAGGAACACAGCAUAAUCCCCCUCCCCAAGGACUAGACGACACAUAGUCUGGGAGUCAACUCAGGUCUUUAUUCACAGUUCUGCUUUUAUGCAUUUGUCCCAUGCAAGGGAGGUAACUUCCAUAAUUAUUACAGUAUCCAAUCACAUAGUGGUUACCUCCCCUACAUCUCCUCCCCUUAGAUUAACAGUUAACUUUAUUAAUAGGUACACAGUUUUCCCCAAUUCGUGGAUGUACCCUAAAUACAGGGGGUACACCUUUGAAUGAGGGGUCCCCUGAUAGCCCUGAUCUGGGUGAGCAACAUACUCAAAAUUCACCCAGAUCUGACCAGGGGUUCGGGAGUUAUUGCAGGAGAAAGAUUUGACUGACCGCAUGGGCACAGUAGCUGAAAAUGGUUCUCUUUUCGUGAAUAAAAAGUCCCGAAAGUCUAUGGCAUCCAGGCUUCACUUAUCAUUCGGAUGAAUCCCCUAGUUUGUGGGAUUCCACAUACCGAAUGCUGGGAGGCUCGGGUGGUUCAUUCGGUACUUUUAGGCGUGCUGGAGGUCUUAGCGGUACUUGGUUAGUCGAAUGCACGAUUUGAGUUCCAGGCGUUCGACGACCAAGUACCGCUGUUCGUGUGUAAGAUGGCCGCCGCCACGUGUUCGGUAGGCGAAAUGGCGGCCGCACACGAACUCUCAGUUAGCACCCUUUGCAACAUUGUUGCCUUCGGUAAUAAGGGGCACGCGACCACACCGGGGUGGUCCCUCAUUCGGUAGUUUACUGUUGUUCGCAUAAACUGCAGUGUAGAUAGUUUGUGAACCGAGUCUCUGAUAAUUCCUGCCUUAGCAAACGUACGGCCAUUAUAAUCCAAGCGUUCAUUCGCAUAGAAAAGUCAGUCUCUUAGUGGCAUGGUUUGCCACAAUGCUCCCCCAGAACCAAGCCAGCAUACACAGUCUGAUCCUAACGGAUCGGCUUGGGGAUGUCCGGAGGAGUGCUCACAGAUCAUUUUUCCAACUCGGUCUGUCGUGACAACCCGUCGGCGUUACCAUUUUGCUUCCCCGGGCGAUACUGGAUGGUGAAAUCAAAGGGCUGUAGCGCCAAGCUCCAGCGUAACAGUCUAGCGUUGUCCCCUGACACCCGGUUUAGCCACACCAACGGGUUGUGAUCUGUGAGCAAGGCAAAUUGUUGUCCGUAUAAAUAGGGCUGCAGCUUCUUGAGGGCCCACACCAAGGCCAGGCAUUCUUUCUCGAUGGCGGCAUAGCUUACUUCUCUGGGUAAUAGUUUUCAGCUCAAGUAAGCGACCGGGUGUUUGCCGCCAUCGGCCCCAACCUGGCUCAGCACUGCUCCCAAUCCAAACAUAGAAGUGUCUGUAUGAACGAGAAAGCGUUUAGUUGGAUCGGGAGCGGCAAGUACAGGUGCAUGUAUAAGGGCAGUUUUCAGUUCUUGGAAUGCCUGUUCACACUCUGGGCUCCAGGUAACUAUCUUGGGCAGGUUUUUCUUGGUAAGGUCUGUGAGGGGCUUGGUUAUGGCACUAUAAUUGGGCACAAAUUUCCGGUAAUAUGCGGCGGUCCCUAGAAAAGCUAGGACUUGGGUUUUAGUGCGGGGGUCGGCCACUUUGCUACGGCCUCUAUCUUGGCGGGUUCAGGUUUUUGCUGCCCACUCCCUACCCGGUGCCCAAAGUAUUGUACUUCGGCCAUCCCUACAUGGCAUUUGCUGUGUUUCAAAGUUAGGCCUGCCUCCCUGAUGCGAUCGAGGAUGACUCCUAUAUGGGUUAAAUGCUCGGCCCAGGAGUUGCUAAAUAUCGCUAUAUCGUCUAAGUAUGCGCAAGCAUACUCCUGGGAUCCAUCCAGUAGCCGAUCCACCAUCCUCUGAAAGGUAGCCGGAGCAUUCUUCAUCCCGAAGGGCAUUACUUUAAAUUGGUAUAGCCCAAACGGGGUGACGAAUGCGGACUUCGGGAUGGCAUCCUCGGCUAGUGGUAUCUGCCAGCACCCCUUGCACAAGUCUAUGGUUGUGAGGUACUGGCCCCUGGCCAUUUUAUCUAGGAGCUCGUCGAUUCGGGGCAUAGGGUAGGCAUCUGAGAUAGCCUUAUCAUUAAGCUUCUGGUAGUCUAUGCAGAAGCGGGUGGUUCCGUCCCGCUUCGGCACUAGUACUACCGGAGAUGCCCAUGGGCUAUCCGAGUGCUCUAUCACUCCUAGCUGCAGCAUUUCGUCAAUCUCCUUCCGCAUAUGUUCCCUUAUGGGCUCUGGUAUGCGGUAGGGGGUUUGACGAAGAGGUUGUUGCCCUGGGGGUGGCUAGCGGGGUAUAUCCUGGUAGAUUGGAAAAGGUAUCUCCUUUCUCCUUAAUUAACUCUGAGCCCGCUCUCUAGGACUCAGCCUAUCUCCCAGCUGUACUUCCCCUAAUUCUGCUUCUUGCCCCCCUUUCGCUAGUAGGUCCGGUAGAGGUAAAUUGUCAGGGUCCUCAGCGGCCGAGGCACAGAUGGCAUUUACUUCUUCGGCCCGUUCGUGAUAUGGUUUCAGCAUAUUGACAUGGAGCAUGCGCUUACCGCCUGCUCCAGUACAUGGGCCAAUUAUAUAGGUGGUGUCACACACUUGUUCCACCACCUUAUAGGGAGCCUGCCAAGAGGCCUGCAGUUUGUCAUUCUGGACGGGCUUCAAUAUUAACACCUUUUGUCCCACUUGAAAACUGCGGUCCCUGGCCCCCAUAUCGUACCACCUGCGCUGUCGUUGUUGGGCUGCCUGGAGAUUGGAUCGUACCGUCUGUAUUAGCGUCUCCAAGCGUUCCCUGAACUCUAACACAUAUGGAACGUUAGGGGUACCAUUACUGGUGACUGUUCCCUCCCAGUGUUCCCUAAUGAGGUCCAAAGGGCCCUGUACUCUCCUUCCGAACAGUAAUUAGAACGGGGAGAACCCUGUGGAUUUCUGAGGUACCUCCCUGUAUGCGAAGAGUAGAUGGGGAAGAAACCGCUCCCAGUCCUUCUGAGUAUCCAUGAACGUACGGAGCAUCUGUUUCAGGGUUCCGUUAAAACGUUCAUAGAGCCCAUUGGACUGGGGGUGGUAAGCUGAAUUCACGAUGGGUUUCACCCCACAUGCUCUCCACAGCUGGUGGGUAACUUCGGCUGCGAAUUGGGUACCCCGAUCCGAGAUUAAUCUCCUUGGGAAACCCCAUUCGGGAGAAUAUUCGGAUCAGGGCGUCCACUAUGGUCUCAGCGUGUAUAUUAGUUAGGGCUACUGCCUCGGGGUAUCUAGUAGCGAAGUCUACCACCGUUAAAAUGUACUUUUUCCCGGAAGGGCUGGGUUUUGCUAGGGGUCCGAUUAUAUCUACCGCCACCCUACUGAAUGGCUCGUCAAUUAUGGGAAGGGAAUGCAUUUUUGCCUUGUACCUGUCCCCUCUCUUCCCUACUCUCUGACACGUAUCACAAGUUUGGCAAUACUGACGGAUAUCUUUGGAGACCCCUGGCCAAAAGAAGUUUUGGGUCAAACGAUGUUUAGUCCUACUGACGCCUAGAUGCCGUGACAGAGGAAUAUCGUGGGCAAUACGUAAUAGCUCCUGCCUAUACUUUUUAUGAACGACUAAUUGAUUGAUGGUCAUGGGUACUGAUCCUGCUACCACCUUCUCUGCAUACCUAUACAGCAAUCCUUUCUCCCAAGCAUAUCUCUCCCCCUCCAACCCCGCCUGAUUCUGUGCUACCCUAUCUCGGUAUACUUGCAAUGAUGGGUCGGUGGCUACCUCAGUACCAAAUUCUAAGGGGGGGGCCCACGGGACGAAAGGGGAUGUGUGACUGUUGCUUACCUGAGCCUCAGAGUGUUCGGAGGAUACGGUGGUGCGAGCCUGCUGCCGGGUAACAACUGGUAGUGCUUCCUGUGCUGGGUGUUGAGGAACAAAAGCUGAGGUCAGCUCCCCCAAGUCAUUACCCAAGAUAACAUCGGACGGUAAAUCUUGCAUGAGGCCCACGUCCCCUGACCCCGCUCCCCAAUCCAAAUGUACCCUGGCAGUGGGAAUUUUGUAAAUUGCUCCCCCUGCCACCCGUACUGCCACGUAUUCUCCAGUGAGCUGGUUCUUUGGGACCAAGUGGUUACGAACCAAAGUUAUGGUGGCCCCAGAGUCGCGCAGACCCUGGAGGCAUUUUCCCUCUAUAUGUACCCCUUGUCGGUGCCCUUGUCGGUUGUCAGAAGCCGCCUGUACCGGGUUGACUUCGUGUAGGGUGCCCAGAGUGGAUCCGGUCGAGAAGGGUGGUUGUCGUGGCUCACUCUGGUAGCAGUGUACGGCUGCUCGGUUACCAGAGAAAUUGGUCGGGCUAUUCUGGGUGGAUCGGUUCUUAUUCCUAGGACAAUCUCGAUGCAUGUGGCCCUGUUGGUUGCAUGUGUGGCAACGAAUAAAGGACCUGUUGUUGUUAUAUCUGGGUGAGGGUUGGUAACUCCCUCCACCGGGACGAAGUGUCGGGGUAGUGGUAGUAGCUGGAGGUGGAGUGGCAACCCCUGGGGUGGGCCGUAACUGUGCCCGCUGUGCCCUUCUGGCAUCUUGGUAUUCGUCUGCCAAUCUGGCUGCGUCAGUUAAGGUGCGCGGUUUCCGAUCUCUCAGCCAAUUCUGUAAAUCCGGGGUUAACCCCUGAAAAUUUUUUCAAUAAAAGCAAUUGCAGCAUAUCUUCUACUGUAGUGGCUUGUGCUGCUUGGACCCAUCCCUUGCCGGCCCUGAUUAAGCGGUGUGCCCACUCCAUGUGGGAGUCUCUAUCCGAUUUUCGACUCUCUCUGCCUCCGGGGUUAUGGCAUACCUAGUUAGAAUGGCCUGCUUCACUUUCUGGUAGUCCCUGCUGUCCUCGUCUGGCAUUGUGCGGUAGGCUUUGGCUGCCUGGCCCGCUAGUUUGCCCACCAGCAGGGGUACUUGGUCAGUUGCGCUGAUAUCAUGUAGUUGGCAUAGUCUCUCGAAGUAGUGUAAGUAUCCAUCAAUGUCCUCUGUUUCCACAUAAUUUUUAAAAGCGUGGUAAGGAAUUUUAGGCUUCCCUUGUACCAUGUGGGGUGGGGUUGGAGACCCCUCUCUGGACCUCUGGUCUGCUUGCUGCUUUGCCAUUAAAUAUUCAUGGACAUCUGCCAUUAUUCUUUCCACUGUUUCUAUGCGGGGUGUUCCUGGGAAAAACGCCAGCCGGCUUUUGAGUUCUUUCUCAAACUCUGUCUGUGUGAUUUCCAUAGGAGGUGCUGCAGCAGCUGCUCUGUCUCCCUCCAUGAGUUCAGCGAUAAGGAUGGCUUUAGCUUUAUUGCUGGCAAUAAUUCCCCUUGCUUCCAAUAGUUCUUUUAGUGUAGCCCAAGCGUGUAUAAUCCGUCCCCAUUCACUGUCCGUUCGGGUAUAUUCACAUACCCACAACCUUCAGUUCCAUAUGAAUAAGGAUUUCCACGAAUUGCUCAAUCUGCCGAACAACGGUCUGCUGUGUGGUUUGAAUCCCGUCGCUUGCCACCAAAUGUAGCGGAGUAGCAGGGGUUAAUCCAAGAGCUCUCUGCUGGGAACAACGUUUCAGCAUACAAGAAUACAGGAACACAGCAUAAUCCCCCUCCCCAAGGACUAGACGACACAUAGUCUGGGAGUCAACUCAGGUCUUUAUUCACAGUUCUGCUUUUAUGCAUUUGUCCCAUGCAAGGGAGGUAACUUCCAUAAUUAUUACAGUAUCCAAUCACAUAGUGGUUACCUCCCCUACAUCUCCUCCCCUUUGAUUAACAGUUAACUUUAUUAAUAGGUACACAGUUUUCCACAAUUCGUGGAUGUACCAGGUCCCCUGGUAGCCCUGAUCUGGGUGAGCAACAUACUCAAAAUUCACCCAGAUUGGACCAGGGGUUCGGGAGUUAUUGCAGGAGAAAGAUUUGACCGACCGCACGGGCACAGUAGCCGAAAAUAGUUCCAUGAAUUCUGGCCCUGCGGUCGGUCUCUUUUCGUGAAUAAAAAGUCCCGAAAGUCUAGUUCGUGGGAUUCCACAUACCGAAUGCUGGGAGGUUCGGGUGGUUCAUUCGGCACUUUUAAGCGUGCUGGAGGUCUUAGCGGUACUUGGUUAGUCAAAUGCCUGAUUUGAGUUCCAGGCGUUCGACGACCAAGUACCGCUGUUCGUGCGUAAGAUGGCCACCGCCACGUGUUCGGUAGGCAAAAUGGCGGCCGCACACGAACUCUCAAUUAGUACCCUUUGCAACAUUGUUGCCUUCGGUAAUAAGGGGCACACGACCACACCGGGGUGGUCCCUCAUUCGGUAGUUUACUGUUGUUUGCAUAAACUGAAGUGUAGAUAGUUCGUGAACUGAGUCUCUCAUAAUUCCUGCCUUAGCAAACGUACGGCCAUUAUAAUCCAAGCGUUCAUUCGCAUAGAAAAGUCAGUCUCUUAGUGGCAUGGUUUGCCACAUACUCUAAGAGUAUUAAGUAACACCAUAGGCACGUCAGGUUGGUUCUUUCUAAAUUAUUGAAGAACGAACUCUAUUGUAAAUUAGAAAAGUGCCUGUUUGACAUGGAAAAGUUUAAUUUCCUAGGUUUUAAUAGAAUUUCAGGUUCGGGUUUUCAAAUGGAACCCAAAAAACUGGAAGCAAUCUUAAACUGGCCCUUACCCGUUGGACUUAAGGCCAUCCAACGUUUCCUGGGAUUUGCUAAUUAUUAUAGGAAAUUCAUCAAGGGAUUUUCCUCUAUUACCGCUCCUAUUACCGCCAUGACAAAAAAAAGUAGGAAUCAUAUGGAGUGGUGUCUCGAAGCUAAGGAUGCUUUUGAGAGGUUAAAAAUAGAUCCUUCACGUCCCUUCCUGUUAGAGGUAGAUGCAUCGGAGACUGGCUGUACUAUCACAGAGAUCAACCUCUACAUCCCUGUGGGUUUUUUUCAAAGAAACUGACUGAAACGGAAAAAAGAUAUGAUAUAGGAGAUAGGGAACAGUUAGCUAUUAUUUCAGUUCUCAAGGAAUGGCGUCAUCUAUUAGAGGGGUCACCUGUACUGAUCACCAUUCUUACUGACCAUAAAAACCUUUCCUAUUUCGGGGAGGCUAAAAGAAUGUCUGACAGGCAGAUUCGUUGGUCUUUGUUUUUAACACGCUUUAAUUACAUUGUGACAUAUAGACCUGGAUCUAAGAAUACUAAAGCUGAUGCCCUAUCCCGACAACAUACACAUCUAUCUUCCCCCGAAACCCAUUGUCCAUAAUCCCAGCCAAUGACAUUGUAGCCACAGUUCAUGCUAAGAUCUCUUCUGGUUUAAUGGAGGAAUUAUCCACAUUCCAGGAUCAUAUCUCUUUGACUAUACCUCGGGGAAAAUUAUACGUACCUUUGGCGUAUGGAAGAAAGGUCUUGUCCUUGGUGCACGACUCCAAAUUUGCCGGUCAUCCCGUUAUCCAUAAGACUGAAUCUUUACUUGAAAAGCAAUUCUGGUGGCCCUCAUACAAGAAAGAUGUUCGAGAAUUUGUUCUGGCCUGUAACAUCUGUUCCUCUAAUAAAUCUCCUAAGGGUCGUCCAUUAGGUCUCCUCAUGCCAUUGCCUAUUCCCGAUAAGCCCUGGUCGAGUAUCGCCAUGAAUUUCGUAGUGGACCUACCCUCUUCCAAGAAUCACUGAGUGAUACUGACUAUAAUAGACAGAUUUUCGAAGAUUACCCAUCUUGUCCCUUUAAUUAAAUUACCUUAUUCCUCCGAACUGGCCACUUUGUUUAUAAGGGAAGUGGUUCAUUUGUACGGUAUAACUGUGGAUAUAGUUUCUGACAGAGGUCCACAAUUUGUUUCCAGGUUCUGGAGAGCAUUUUGUAGCCAAUUAGGUAUCAAUCUUAAUCUAUCUUCUUCGUACCAUCCCCAAUCUAACGGGGUUACAGAAAGGAUGAAUCAAGCACUCGAACAAUACAUUCGCUGCUUUACUUCCGAUCAACAAGAUGAUUGGGUAGAUUUACUUCCAUGGGCUGAAUUUGCCCACAAUAACCAGGUUCACGAAUCUACGCAACACAGUCCCUUUUAUAUCAAUUAUGGUUUUGACCCUAUUACUCUUCCGAGUUCCUUUUCAUCCACGGGAGUGCCAAGUGUUAGGGGUUAAACAUAUAUUGAUUCAAAAGGCUGAAACACAAAAGUGUAAAGCAGAUAGACAACGAAGAGCCACUCCAACUUUUAUGGCAGGGGACAGAGUAUGGUUGAGCUCUCGCAAUAUAAAAUUAAAAGUCCCCUCUAUGAAGUUCGCUCCACGUUUUAUUGGUCCUUUCAAAAUACUCAAACGCAUUAAUCCGGUCUGUUAUCGCCUGGAUUUACUGGCUACUAUGAAGAUACUCAAUUCCUUUCAUGUUUCUCUCCUUAAACCUUUAAUUUGUAAACAUUAUACUUGAAUACCCACAAGACCUCCUACUACACUCGUAGAAUGCCAAAACGAAUAUGAAGUGAAAUCUGUUUUGGACUUUCAUAUUUCUAGGGGUCAUCUCCAAUAUCUUUUAGAUUGGAAAGGGUAUGGUCCCGAGGAACAUUAAUGGGUAGAUGCCUCUGAUGUACAUGCUCCUCGUCUGGUUCGUUAAUUUGAAAGGCGUCGUUCUCGCAAGCCAAGUCCUCCCCGCCCUGGGGGCGGUUUUCAAGGGGUGGGUAUUGUAACGAUAACUUACCUUUACCCACCGGACCCGCGCAGUGUGGCGUUCUCCCUUGCUGCUUCCGGGAGGCGGCACUGUCUGCAACACGCCUCUUCUUAUGACGCGGAGCAUGCGCGCCGACGUCAUCAGAAUAUUGCCGCGGAAAUUCAAACGUGGCCACACUCCCGAACAUUUUGGGGGCGUGGCUUUAAAGUAAAAGACACCUCACUAUAAAAGGGCGCCUCUGUCAUUUCUUCAGCGUCCUAGUAUGGUUCUUGUGUGUUCCCUCUAGUGCUCUUGCGAUUUUUGACUGUUUUCUGGUAUUUUGACUCUUGGCUUUCCUUACUGACUCCUCUCCUCUCUGGUUCCCCGAUUAUUGGCUUGGUUAUUUCUCGUGUAUUUUGAUUUCUGUACUCCCUUGACCUUUGGCUAUUCCUUGGGUGGUAUUUCAGGUAAUCCAAAAGAACUUUCAAAACCACAGGAAAGGUGACAUAAACAUCUCAUUACUGAAAGCAGAAUCCCGUUGGAUUUAUUUGUUUCAAACACUAUAUCCCAAAGGACUAAAUGAGGAGUUUAAUUUUACUCCAUUCAUUCAUUCCUAGUGGACCAGUAUCUUAAGCUAUGGCAAUUGCUAUUAGCUUUGUUCGUUGCAACUAAGAUAAUUCGAAUAGCUUAUUUCCUUUUUUGGAAACAUCCGAUUCGGUUCCUGUAACAUCUACACACCAAUUGAAUUCAUCCACUUAAAGACUUUGGUUUCUUUGGUGAACCAUCAGAUUAUACUGAAUGUACAUUUACCUUUUUUGUACUUUUCAAACUCUUUUUUACUUUCUGUCUGAUUUACCUUUAAUCAAUAUAGAUUUUCAAUUUGAAUUGAAAUGACCAAUUGACUCUUAUUAGGGAACCAACUCUUAUCCUGAGAAUUGUUGCUAUUAUUAAUGCACACUAGGAGACACCUUUACCCUAAAGCCCAUAUACAUUUUGGGGCUUGCUAUACAGAUGGAGAAAUGCUGAACACCGUUGACUAUUUACUCUCACUGGGUCUUUGACCCUUCUGAUAUAAUUCUUUCAGACACAAAAUGUCUCUUUUAAUGUUUUAUUCCUACAAUAAACUAUCUUGAAUUCAUUUGACAACUGACCAUUUACUCAUAAUGGCCAGUAUGUGUCUUUCUGCCGAUUUUUGACCACUUGAGAAUGCAUAAGAUUCGAAUUUCCACUAUUGUUUACAUUCGUUAUGCCCUUAGCAUAUACCUGAUAGUUCAAGUUAUUCCCCUUGAACUCCUGGAUGUACAACCGAUGUUUCCACUAAGCACUGACUUUAACUGGUUACUGUGUAACUUAACACGUUCCAUAGACAUUUUAUUACCGUUGCUAUUGUCCGUGUCCGGUUCCCGAACCACUCAGGGGUUAACCGGCAUCGGCAUUUGACUUCGCCCCCUCGCGUCUGAUUGGCUAGAAUCUAACCAAUCAUAGAGGUGGGCGGUAUAUUUAAAUGACCGCCAGCGUCUUGUUCGGUUCCCUUGGAAUAGCCAGUGUGGCGAAACGCGCGUCGGGACUAGUCGAGUUAGAGGGUGGUGGAGAUAGAUAAGGUCGAUGCUGCAGCUGUUAUUUUCUAUUUAAGCUCCUAAUCAACCACCUUCUAUAUACACUUCUUAGACUUACUCUAUUGGCGUUUUCUUAUCAGUUAUUAUCUAUAUAACUCUACUUAUUACUCUGAUUAGUGGUUAGUGGACUUUAGAGACUUUAGGGGAUUUAUCAGUUAUUUAUCAUUGUUAGGCAGUCACAGGGGAUCCUUGAUUAUGUACCUCCUUGGGUCCUUUUCGAUUUAUUAUUGACUAUUCCUGUGCUACCUUCUACUGUUUCGUCUUUUUUCCCCUUUCUCUAUUAGUCCGCUUUUUAUUUUCUAUAUACCUAUUGUGAUCUUAACAGUAUUAAUUAAAAGUUAAAUUUUAUAUUAAUUUUCACUGGGUUGCUUUCUAUACAUUGAAAGCCUAUGAAAUUGACACUUUAUAACCUCUAGGCUUCUGUGUAUUUUUUCCUCUCCUCCUCUUUCUGUAAGUAUUACUUAUUAGGGGUUACCCCCUAUUAUCCUCAGCAACCCGACUAUAUAUCCCUGUCCUCCCUUUGUUUUAAAAUUGGGUGGUUAAGGGUUCCAUAGUAGGAACAUAAGGUCCCUUCCUCCCUUUGUUUAAAAUUGGGUGGUUAAGGGUUCCAUAGUAGGAACAUAAGGUCCAGUAUACGUCUCUUUCUGGGUUACUCUCUGCGUGAAGGGGUCACUGUCGUGACAGCUCCGAGCAGUCCCGGCAAAACAAGCCUUCCAAUGCCGGCCACACACAUUGUUCCUGACCCAAAUCAACCUCACCUGAUUGGGGAGCCAUGCUGAGUCCACUGAUGCCUUUCUUUCAACCCGCACAUGUGCACAAACAGCGGCGCCGACCCAGGGCCUCCUACUCACCUGCCCUCACUAGCUGGGAAACACUCCUCCGCAACUUCAAAGACCCAGACGAACCGGGCUGGGGCUCCGCGCCUCCAGCUAAGCACACAACAGCCAUGGGGUGCCGCUCACAAAAAUCUGGGGCUGGGAUCCCACCAGACAAUAGGGAUAUCGGGACCAUUCUGCAGAGGCAAGUACCUCACAAAAUGGCGCCCGCAGAGGGCCUCCAGCACACACACCAGCACCCCAGAGGAGGAAACAGGAGCACAGACACCCACAGCUUCCCAGGGGUCACAGACCCCCACAGCUUCCUAAACUGACCAACCCACUCUCAUGGACACUACAGCAGCACAGUAGCCGAAAAUAGUUCCAUGAAUUCUGGCCCUGCGGUCGGUCUCUUUUCGUGAAUAAAAAGUCCCGAAAGUCUAGUUCGUGGGAUUCCACAUACCGAAUGCUGGGAGGUUCGGGUGGUUCAUUCGGCACUUUUAAGCGUGCUGGAGGUCUUAGCGGUACUUGGUUAGUCAAAUGCCUGAUUUGAGUUCCAGGCGUUCGACGACCAAGUACCGCUGUUCGUGCGUAAGAUGGCCACCGCCACGUGUUCGGUAGGCAAAAUGGCGGCCGCACACGAACUCUCAAUUAGUACCCUUUGCAACAUUGUUGCCUUCGGUAAUAAGGGGCACACGACCACACCGGGGUGGUCCCUCAUUCGGUAGUUUACUGUUGUUUGCAUAAACUGAAGUGUAGAUAGUUCGUGAACUGAGUCUCUCAUAAUUCCUGCCUUAGCAAACGUACGGCCAUUAUAAUCCAAGCGUUCAUUCGCAUAGAAAAGUCAGUCUCUUAGUGGCAUGGUUUGCCACAUACUCUAAGAGUAUUAAGUAACACCAUAGGCACGUCAGGUUGGUUCUUUCUAAAUUAUUGAAGAACGAACUCUAUUGUAAAUUAGAAAAGUGCCUGUUUGACAUGGAAAAGUUUAAUUUCCUAGGUUUUAAUAGAAUUUCAGGUUCGGGUUUUCAAAUGGAACCCAAAAAACUGGAAGCAAUCUUAAACUGGCCCUUACCCGUUGGACUUAAGGCCAUCCAACGUUUCCUGGGAUUUGCUAAUUAUUAUAGGAAAUUCAUCAAGGGAUUUUCCUCUAUUACCGCUCCUAUUACCGCCAUGACAAAAAAAAGUAGGAAUCAUAUGGAGUGGUGUCUCGAAGCUAAGGAUGCUUUUGAGAGGUUAAAAAUAGAUCCUUCACGUCCCUUCCUGUUAGAGGUAGAUGCAUCGGAGACUGGCUGUACUAUCACAGAGAUCAACCUCUACAUCCCUGUGGGUUUUUUUCAAAGAAACUGACUGAAACGGAAAAAAGAUAUGAUAUAGGAGAUAGGGAACAGUUAGCUAUUAUUUCAGUUCUCAAGGAAUGGCGUCAUCUAUUAGAGGGGUCACCUGUACUGAUCACCAUUCUUACUGACCAUAAAAACCUUUCCUAUUUCGGGGAGGCUAAAAGAAUGUCUGACAGGCAGAUUCGUUGGUCUUUGUUUUUAACACGCUUUAAUUACAUUGUGACAUAUAGACCUGGAUCUAAGAAUACUAAAGCUGAUGCCCUAUCCCGACAACAUACACAUCUAUCUUCCCCCGAAACCCAUUGUCCAUAAUCCCAGCCAAUGACAUUGUAGCCACAGUUCAUGCUAAGAUCUCUUCUGGUUUAAUGGAGGAAUUAUCCACAUUCCAGGAUCAUAUCUCUUUGACUAUACCUCGGGGAAAAUUAUACGUACCUUUGGCGUAUGGAAGAAAGGUCUUGUCCUUGGUGCACGACUCCAAAUUUGCCGGUCAUCCCGUUAUCCAUAAGACUGAAUCUUUACUUGAAAAGCAAUUCUGGUGGCCCUCAUACAAGAAAGAUGUUCGAGAAUUUGUUCUGGCCUGUAACAUCUGUUCCUCUAAUAAAUCUCCUAAGGGUCGUCCAUUAGGUCUCCUCAUGCCAUUGCCUAUUCCCGAUAAGCCCUGGUCGAGUAUCGCCAUGAAUUUCGUAGUGGACCUACCCUCUUCCAAGAAUCACUGAGUGAUACUGACUAUAAUAGACAGAUUUUCGAAGAUUACCCAUCUUGUCCCUUUAAUUAAAUUACCUUAUUCCUCCGAACUGGCCACUUUGUUUAUAAGGGAAGUGGUUCAUUUGUACGGUAUAACUGUGGAUAUAGUUUCUGACAGAGGUCCACAAUUUGUUUCCAGGUUCUGGAGAGCAUUUUGUAGCCAAUUAGGUAUCAAUCUUAAUCUAUCUUCUUCGUACCAUCCCCAAUCUAACGGGGUUACAGAAAGGAUGAAUCAAGCACUCGAACAAUACAUUCGCUGCUUUACUUCCGAUCAACAAGAUGAUUGGGUAGAUUUACUUCCAUGGGCUGAAUUUGCCCACAAUAACCAGGUUCACGAAUCUACGCAACACAGUCCCUUUUAUAUCAAUUAUGGUUUUGACCCUAUUACUCUUCCGAGUUCCUUUUCAUCCACGGGAGUGCCAAGUGUUAGGGGUUAAACAUAUAUUGAUUCAAAAGGCUGAAACACAAAAGUGUAAAGCAGAUAGACAACGAAGAGCCACUCCAACUUUUAUGGCAGGGGACAGAGUAUGGUUGAGCUCUCGCAAUAUAAAAUUAAAAGUCCCCUCUAUGAAGUUCGCUCCACGUUUUAUUGGUCCUUUCAAAAUACUCAAACGCAUUAAUCCGGUCUGUUAUCGCCUGGAUUUACUGGCUACUAUGAAGAUACUCAAUUCCUUUCAUGUUUCUCUCCUUAAACCUUUAAUUUGUAAACAUUAUACUUGAAUACCCACAAGACCUCCUACUACACUCGUAGAAUGCCAAAACGAAUAUGAAGUGAAAUCUGUUUUGGACUUUCAUAUUUCUAGGGGUCAUCUCCAAUAUCUUUUAGAUUGGAAAGGGUAUGGUCCCGAGGAACAUUAAUGGGUAGAUGCCUCUGAUGUACAUGCUCCUCGUCUGGUUCGUUAAUUUGAAAGGCGUCGUUCUCGCAAGCCAAGUCCUCCCCGCCCUGGGGGCGGUUUUCAAGGGGUGGGUAUUGUAACGAUAACUUACCUUUACCCACCGGACCCGCGCAGUGUGGCGUUCUCCCUUGCUGCUUCCGGGAGGCGGCACUGUCUGCAACACGCCUCUUCUUAUGACGCGGAGCAUGCGCGCCGACGUCAUCAGAAUAUUGCCGCGGAAAUUCAAACGUGGCCACACUCCCGAACAUUUUGGGGGCGUGGCUUUAAAGUAAAAGACACCUCACUAUAAAAGGGCGCCUCUGUCAUUUCUUCAGCGUCCUAGUAUGGUUCUUGUGUGUUCCCUCUAGUGCUCUUGCGAUUUUUGACUGUUUUCUGGUAUUUUGACUCUUGGCUUUCCUUACUGACUCCUCUCCUCUCUGGUUCCCCGAUUAUUGGCUUGGUUAUUUCUCGUGUAUUUUGAUUUCUGUACUCCCUUGACCUUUGGCUAUUCCUUGGGUGGUAUUUCAGGUAAUCCAAAAGAACUUUCAAAACCACAGGAAAGGUGACAUAAACAUCUCAUUACUGAAAGCAGAAUCCCGUUGGAUUUAUUUGUUUCAAACACUAUAUCCCAAAGGACUAAAUGAGGAGUUUAAUUUUACUCCAUUCAUUCAUUCCUAGUGGACCAGUAUCUUAAGCUAUGGCAAUUGCUAUUAGCUUUGUUCGUUGCAACUAAGAUAAUUCGAAUAGCUUAUUUCCUUUUUUGGAAACAUCCGAUUCGGUUCCUGUAACAUCUACACACCAAUUGAAUUCAUCCACUUAAAGACUUUGGUUUCUUUGGUGAACCAUCAGAUUAUACUGAAUGUACAUUUACCUUUUUUGUACUUUUCAAACUCUUUUUUACUUUCUGUCUGAUUUACCUUUAAUCAAUAUAGAUUUUCAAUUUGAAUUGAAAUGACCAAUUGACUCUUAUUAGGGAACCAACUCUUAUCCUGAGAAUUGUUGCUAUUAUUAAUGCACACUAGGAGACACCUUUACCCUAAAGCCCAUAUACAUUUUGGGGCUUGCUAUACAGAUGGAGAAAUGCUGAACACCGUUGACUAUUUACUCUCACUGGGUCUUUGACCCUUCUGAUAUAAUUCUUUCAGACACAAAAUGUCUCUUUUAAUGUUUUAUUCCUACAAUAAACUAUCUUGAAUUCAUUUGACAACUGACCAUUUACUCAUAAUGGCCAGUAUGUGUCUUUCUGCCGAUUUUUGACCACUUGAGAAUGCAUAAGAUUCGAAUUUCCACUAUUGUUUACAUUCGUUAUGCCCUUAGCAUAUACCUGAUAGUUCAAGUUAUUCCCCUUGAACUCCUGGAUGUACAACCGAUGUUUCCACUAAGCACUGACUUUAACUGGUUACUGUGUAACUUAACACGUUCCAUAGACAUUUUAUUACCGUUGCUAUUGUCCGUGUCCGGUUCCCGAACCACUCAGGGGUUAACCGGCAUCGGCAUUUGACUUCGCCCCCUCGCGUCUGAUUGGCUAGAAUCUAACCAAUCAUAGAGGUGGGCGGUAUAUUUAAAUGACCGCCAGCGUCUUGUUCGGUUCCCUUGGAAUAGCCAGUGUGGCGAAACGCGCGUCGGGACUAGUCGAGUUAGAGGGUGGUGGAGAUAGAUAAGGUCGAUGCUGCAGCUGUUAUUUUCUAUUUAAGCUCCUAAUCAACCACCUUCUAUAUACACUUCUUAGACUUACUCUAUUGGCGUUUUCUUAUCAGUUAUUAUCUAUAUAACUCUACUUAUUACUCUGAUUAGUGGUUAGUGGACUUUAGAGACUUUAGGGGAUUUAUCAGUUAUUUAUCAUUGUUAGGCAGUCACAGGGGAUCCUUGAUUAUGUACCUCCUUGGGUCCUUUUCGAUUUAUUAUUGACUAUUCCUGUGCUACCUUCUACUGUUUCGUCUUUUUUCCCCUUUCUCUAUUAGUCCGCUUUUUAUUUUCUAUAUACCUAUUGUGAUCUUAACAGUAUUAAUUAAAAGUUAAAUUUUAUAUUAAUUUUCACUGGGUUGCUUUCUAUACAUUGAAAGCCUAUGAAAUUGACACUUUAUAACCUCUAGGCUUCUGUGUAUUUUUUCCUCUCCUCCUCUUUCUGUAAGUAUUACUUAUUAGGGGUUACCCCCUAUUAUCCUCAGCAACCCGACUAUAUAUCCCUGUCCUCCCUUUGUUUUAAAAUUGGGUGGUUAAGGGUUCCAUAGUAGGAACAUAAGGUCCCUUCCUCCCUUUGUUUAAAAUUGGGUGGUUAAGGGUUCCAUAGUAGGAACAUAAGGUCCAGUAUACGUCUCUUUCUGGGUUACUCUCUGCGUGAAGGGGUCACUGUCGUGACAGCUCCGAGCAGUCCCGGCAAAACAAGCCUUCCAAUGCCGGCCACACACAUUGUUCCUGACCCAAAUCAACCUCACCUGAUUGGGGAGCCAUGCUGAGUCCACUGAUGCCUUUCUUUCAACCCGCACAUGUGCACAAACAGCGGCGCCGACCCAGGGCCUCCUACUCACCUGCCCUCACUAGCUGGGAAACACUCCUCCGCAACUUCAAAGACCCAGACGAACCGGGCUGGGGCUCCGCGCCUCCAGCUAAGCACACAACAGCCAUGGGGUGCCGCUCACAAAAAUCUGGGGCUGGGAUCCCACCAGACAAUAGGGAUAUCGGGACCAUUCUGCAGAGGCAAGUACCUCACAAAAUGGCGCCCGCAGAGGGCCUCCAGCACACACACCAGCACCCCAGAGGAGGAAACAGGAGCACAGACACCCACAGCUUCCCAGGGGUCACAGACCCCCACAGCUUCCUAAACUGACCAACCCACUCUCAUGGACACUACAGCAGCACCUACCACCAAACACGACCUACAGCUCCUACUCCAGGAUAUCCACAAAAUGCUGGCAGCAGACACUAAUAUCAUCAAAGCAGAUGUGAAAAAAAUCACAGCCAGAGUUCAGAAAGCAGAAGAAGAAAUUACCAAUCUACACAGUGGCAUGCAUAGCAUAAAUGGUACUUUGCACCAACUUCAAUCAAACCAACAGACGCUGGCUACACAUCUGUCAACCAUGGAAGACAGAAGCCGACGCAAUCAUGUUAAAAUCCGGGGCAUCCCUGCCACUUUCUCAACUGACGAAUUACCACAUUACCUGAGACGCCUCCUGUCAUCCCUCCUACCUCCUGCUGUAGCUCGAAAGAUCGUCAUAGAUGGCAUAUAUCGCCUCCCUACCUCACUUAAAACAUCAUCCACUCAGGCGCGAGACGUUUCUCAAAUGCUCUUCAUCUCACGACAAGGGGCAAAUCAUGACAGCACUGAGGGGCAAGACACCACUCCCUUUUGAGGACUCACAGUUAUCCUUCUACCAAGACCUAACAAAAGCCACACCACAAUGGCGCAAAUCCCUCAGUGAGACCACACACCGCCUGCGCACAGCCACCAUACCAUACAGAUGGGGACCUGUGAGAUCCCCAUCAGUGACCCACAAGGGAACGACCAACAUAAUCACAUCAGCAGCAGAAGCACCGACUCUCCUUUCUUUGCUGGGAAUAAUGGAGCAGACCCCAAGCUUGAACCCGCAAGCCUCAACUAGCACCUUGGACCCAGCCACAGUGGUAAACUUCACACCAAGGAAUGCAAUAAGAAGCCAGCCAGACACCUGACUGAGACCGACGCUGUGCUUCAUGUACUGGCCCAGCGGAGGGCUCUGAAUGGUUCUCUGACGUUCUUCACUGUUAUUUUAUUUUCCUCUCUUUUAUCACCUUCUCUUAUGUUUUCAAAACUCUAACCACAGUGCCGCUACCUUGACAAGGGCCUUAGAUCUUCACCCACCAUAUGUGGGGAACAACUAAAUAUAUACGCUAGCGCAAUGAAAUGCGCAACUGCUACUAAUUUUAUAAAGGCAUUAACCACACCCCCCCCACACCCCUGCCGCUCCCUUGGUUAAGGGUAACACUCAAUGCAAGGGCAAAUAUGCCUCAACACCUGGAGCUAUGUUGACUCAUACAUCCCCUCUACUUUGACCCACAUGCGGCUCAACAGAACCUCACGUAUAAUUCUCCACACCCUGCAUAACUCCAACAGGUUGGUCGCCCAUACUAUAUGACCUUCAAACACCUACCAUAUCACCACUUACUACACUAAUUCACUAAGUAGAGCCUUUCACCCUAGCCUGCAAAAUACCCUAUACCUACUGAUCAACCACUCCUUACAAACAGGACACACUCCAGGCUAAGGAUACAGUUCUUGUUUCUAUAUACAUGUAAAAAAAAAAGUGCAUCCCUUGAUGUCUAUGUUAUUUUUCUUUGUUUGCACUACCUAUUGCUUGAACUAAUGACACAUUAUCAGUUGUUCAUGCCUUUGAUACCUGAACUACAAAAAUAAAGAAUUAUAAAAAAAAAUAAAAAAAAAUAAAAAAAAAUGUUUUGUAGCACUUAGAGAUGAUGCCCUUUAUUUUGAGGAAUUCCUCUCCCAGCAUUUUCUGCAUCAAUAGUGGAUCAUUUUAAAUUUAAUUUAGACAUUUGGGUAUCACAGUUUUUCAACCCACUAUGGCAUUUGUCUUUGGGGGUCCAUAUGACUAUGAGAAAGGUGUCCAGUGACAUGCAAUUGCUCCGUGUCAAUACUCAAGGAAACUCUUAAAUUUACAAAAACCUUGUCGGCAAGGGAUUAGGACCUGCCUGGACUGAAAAGUCCUCUAUAUGACCUUUUCACCUGGGAAAGGAGGCCUAUGUUGGGACUCCAACUUCUCCCCAUUCUGAGGGAAGAUGAGACAUGGGUGAUAAAUCUGUUGAUGGAAGCUGCAAUCCUUCUGAUGGAGCCAUAACUAAGGAGCGGAAGAAGUGUUGUGGAUCCAACUUGGGCACUAGGGUCACUGUUUCAUGCCAGCAGCCUGAAGGUGAAUCCCAAUGCAAAUGUAAUCCACUGCACACAUAGGAUGUCUGUCACCAAAUUCCAAAUCCUCCUUUUUUUCUGGGUAGUUUAAAAUAAAAAUUUAAUAGAUCUGCAUCGGUUCAUCCAGGUAGGUAAGUACCAUAGAUCUGGACAGCUUGAUGAUGGCCUCUUUAGUAGUGUAGAAGUGGAAGUGUACAACAAUAUCUCUUGGCUGCUCGCCCUCUGACCUCCUGAAAUUUAAGGCUCUCUAAGUCCUAUCUAUGAGCCACAUCUGAUCUGGAAUCUCUGUUAAUUUUGGUCAAAAAAUAUGAAGAAGAAUCACCUGUACUCAAUGUUUUCUAGUAGGACUCUGAUUCUUAAGAUAUUUAGUUUAGUGCAAUUGGAUAGGUCACCCACCUUUUCCCCUCUUUCCUUUUCCCAGAACCAUUUUCUUUAGCUUUAACUUCUCACUUACUGUGGUCUACCUCACUGGCAAGACAGGUUUUCAACUCACUCAUGUGCCUCAAAAUUGUUGUUAUGUCAAGGGAGCAGGUCUAUGAGUCACCUAACUCUUCAUCUGGGCUGGCUGCCUUGAAGCUGACAGUGUUCACAUUCCCACCAUCUUGUGAUGCAGUUGUUGUUUGGUUGAGAAUAAGUGAGCCACAGAGGGCUACCUUACCUGUUGUUUCUUGGGCUGGCAUUCUCUGAGUGGUCAAGUAUGUGUGCCUGUGGACACGUUCCUGUUUCUCAUGAAGCUGAUUGCCAGAUUACCUGAACGGAGCUCAGCACUGUCUAUUCAAAUCUGAGUCUAAGCCACACACCCUUACUUCCCACCAUUUAUUAACAGCCCCCGCAUAGCUUUCUUCAAAUCCUCCACACCUCUGUACAAAGAAUCCACAUUUUAGCAUUACCUACUUCUUGCUGCACUUGUUCCCCUCUAAACACUGUAACCUCACAUUUGAUGUAACCUCACACCCCACUAUUCAAAAGGAAAUAUGCAUAUGACAAAAAUAAGAGAAAUCUCAAUACUCAUACCUAUACAAACUAUUUUAUUGUAUUAACUAUAUAUUUUAAUUAAAAGGGAAAUAUAUAGAGACUGACUAAAUCAUAUUCUCAGAUUAAUUCUGUUAGUAUUCUUUAUGUGCAAAGUCUUCUGUGCAAAAACAUAGACAAAUGGUAGGCAACCUUCUGCACUCCAGAUGUUGUGGACUACAUCGUCCCUGAUGCUUUGCCAUGGAGAUGUAGUCCACAACAUCUGAAGUGCCAAAGGUUGCCUACCCCAGACAUUGACAGACUUAUGUUAUAUACAAACCAGUGCACUCCACACUUAACUAAAUCUAAAGCUUAUAUAGCUCAUAAAAUCCCUAAUUUGGGUACAAUAAUAGGGAUUUAGUCACACAAGAUGUUAUACAAUCAUUAAGCCUACCACUUGUCUAGUGUUUGCCAUGUCCAAAACUAAUGAUGGAUUUUAGAUUAAGCCACCUUACGGGAUGCCCAUAUUCAAGUUAUUCAAAGAUCUUAAGAUACAAAAGAAAACAAGAAACACUCACCUGAAUGCAAGUGUUUGAGUAAUAAAAUACAUAGAGAUUCCUCUCAUUUUUAAAACUUUCCAGGACGUACCAUGACCUUCAUGAUUUAACAGGAUUUUCCUAACCUCUUGUUCUGAAGGGUUUAAGCAUAUGAUUGUAUAAUACGUUACACACGUAAUGUAACAGAACAUAUACUAUAUAAAGUAAACAUUAAAGGGGCACACUGGGCUUGAGUUGGUCACAUAUGCAGCCUUUUUAUAUAUGCAUAUGCAUAUGCAGAUGUUUAUUGAGAAAGUUGGGAGUUUGUGGCUGUUACCAUGAGAUCCACUUCUGGAAUUCCCCAACGUAAAACCAGUUGUUGGAAAAUCUUGGGAUUUAACUGCCAUUCCUUGGGAUCCAGAUAAUGCCUGCUGAGGAAGUCGGCCCUCGAGUUUUCUGGACCUGGAAUAUAAAUUGCAGACAGACAAUCUUGUGUAGAACCAUGCUCCUAGAAAGCAUAUAUCUGGGAAGGGGACAGCUGGCUCUUUUGGUAGUUGAUAAUCCAUCCAAACUCUUCCAAAAUCAAUAUUGCCUCAUCUCUUUGAACUAUAAGGUCGGUUCUUGUUUCUCCUACUAGAAGGAUGUCGUCCAGAUAAUGGUAAAUAUUAAGGCCUUGCAGUCUCAUCUUCGCUAUCAGAGCUAAAAGAACCUUUGAAAUGGUCCUUGGUGCUGUACUUAGACCGAAGGGAACAGCUCUGAAUUGAAAAUGUUCUCCUAGAAUUGCAAACUUUAGAAACCUUUGAUGGUGAACUGCUAUCGGGAUGUGGAAAUAGGUGUCUUUUAAAUCCCCAGUCUCCUGGACGAAUUACUGCGAUUAUAGAUGACAAAGACUCCAUCCUGAACCUUUGGACAUUGAGAGAUAGAUUCAGAUUGUGCAGAUCUAGGAUCGGACGCCAAUCUCCCAAAGGUUUUGGGACCAGGAAGAGAUUUGAAUAGAUGCCUUGAAAUCUCUCUUGACGAGGAACCCUUAAGAUUACAUCUCCUUGAAGAAGAUUGGAAAUAUCUCUGAUGAGGGCCUGCCUUUUUUUCUAGAAUACCUGUAGUUUUUGAUAUCAUGAAAAAGAUGUGACAGGGAAACUCUCGUAAUUCCAGUCUGUACCCGUCUUUGAAAAUGGAAACAACCCAGGGAUCCAGACUUGCUUGUGCCCAGGUCUCCCAAAAGAGGUGGAGAUGUGCUCCUACACCUGAGACCUGGGGCCCAAAAUCUUCAGAAGGAUCUAGUUGCUGCUCUUGAACCAGCUGAAGAUCUGAUACUUCUUCCAGACUGGCCUCCUCUCCAAGCUGAUCCUCUUGAAAAUUCUCUUCCAGGCUUAUAUGGCCUUGAUUCUCAAAAGGAAGGUCUAUUACGAAAGGAUCUUCUGUCUUGCCAGUUCUGGGAGACCCUCUUACCCCUACAAUACUGAAGAAGAAACACCUUCUUGCCUGCCGCAGCACGUUUAAUGGCCUCCUCCAAUUGUUUACCAAACAAUAAUUGCCCCUGAAAUGGGAUACCACAUACGCUUUUUUUAGAAAAUAAAUCAGCAUUCCAGGAUUUCAGCUAGAGUGUCCUGCGCACUGACACUAACAAUGCCAUGUUCCUUGCAAGAGUUCUGACUAUGUCAAGAGAGGCAAAGGAGAAAAAUUCAGCCGCCCAUUCAAGCUCGGACAAAAAUUGCAACAGAGAUGGUCUACUUACUCCCUUCUCAAUGUCUUCCUUCAUAAGUGCUUUAGCCACAGAGGUCAUAGCUACUGCAGGUCUACAAGCUAUUGCUGCUGAAACAUAAUUCUUACACAUGUUAUUAUCAAUCCUUCUAUCCAUGGCAUCUUUAAAAGAGUCUAUCACAUCCAAAGGCAGAGCUGUGUUUCUCUCCAGUCUAAUGAUAGCUGCAUCAAUCUUGGGUGCAUUAUUCCAAACUGCAGAAUCCUCUUCAGAGAAAGGAUACAGUUUAGAUAUCUUUCCUUGAACUGAAACUUUCUUUUGAGGUUUUUUCCAUUCUGUCUCAAACAAUUCUUUAAGGGCUUCAUGGGUCGGAAAGGAAGGUCUCUUUUUUACAAGCUCUGGAAAAAUACUGGAAGAGAAUGGCUUAGACUGAUCCGUUUAUUCUAACUUCAGACUAUGUCUAAUAGCUUUGAUGAGCUGCUCAAUAGUCUUAAUAUCCAUAUGAUCCUCUACCGAAUCUGGAUCAUCUGAGGAAUACAUUCCUUCACCCUCUUCUGACUGUACCUCUGCAAAUGAGACAUCAGAAUCAGAAUCUUCCCUGUCUCUUUGAGAAGAGAUUCUUGGGCAUUUGCGAGAUGUAUGCUGCUCCAUAGAUUUAUGUACUGGCAUCCACUUAAUCAUAUCUGGAGAAGGAUCCUUUGGAGAACCAGCUGCUUCAGACAGGCAGUUACUACAUAACUUCUUCCCUUCCAGAGCUUUAACAUCACAGGCUAUACAUCUGUCAGAUUUAUGCAAUUUCUUUCCACCUCCCGAUCUCUCAGAUAUGCCAAAAGCAUGGACACUGAAGAGAACUUGAAGCAGAUCAAAUUUAAUGCACUCUUUUAUAAAAAACAACAACAAAAACAAAAACAAAGUUUACCUCAAAUGCCUAGAAGGGGACCCCCUUGAAGAUCUGACACAAACAUAAGAGCAGCUAAGUAAAAAGAAAACAACAAAAACAAAUUAAGAGGAAUGGAGAAGAAAAAAAUGAAACACACCUAAAGAAAAAAGAGGAAUAACCAACCUGCACUAACAGAGAUAAUCGUCAGAGCAGAAAACCUCAAAGGAGAGUGAAAACAGUACCUUUAAAUAGGAAGCCUGACAAUACAGGACCUCUCACAGGAAAUUCGUGCAAUUGCACAUCCCCAAAUAGCCGAAAUGUGCUGAAAUUAAAAAAUUUAAACUAAAACCUAAUUUCAUGUUGAAAGAAACGAACAGUCCGUUCGUGCCACAAAAGGAAUUAAUUCCCUACUGUUAAAGUAAAAUAAACUAAAGUGAAAUUCAUGUGAACGCAAACCUUCUAAACUCACGAACAAGACCAGAGUACAUAAAAGAGAACGCCGACCAAGAUGGCGAAAUGGCAUGAAAUAACCGAAAGAAGCCUAUGAUAAAGGUGAGUGCCUGCAAGAAACCAAAGGCAAUGCCCUAAGGAGGUCCCCCAUAGAAAAUAAUCCAAACACAAGUAUUUCCCAGCUGGCAAGUGGCUUAUAUGCUUCCAUAUAUUUGCAGGUACUAAUAAAUUACCGGUACCAUAAGGAUCACAGUGGCUGACAUACAAUUCUAUAUAUAUGUGGCUGCAGUUUUACCGCUACCCAGAGGAUCACAGCGGCAAGAGGCUGAAUCUUUAAUGCAUGUGUCACACAUAAUAACCGCUACCCAUAGGAUCACAGCGGAUAUAGUUUGCCAUUAUAAUACAUACCCCUUUAUAGUACCACUACAUAAAAGAUCACUGCGGACCUGUAUUCAAAUAGUAAGUAUAUAUUACACAUGUACCGCUGCGUUAAAAGAACACAGCGGUUAGGAGUAUCACCAUACCUAACAAGUAGAGGGCCCAAUGGCUUCCAGGAGAGAGAGGCUGUACUCUCCUGGGCAAGAACCUAAGGAGAGGUAAACUAAAACAAAAUCUAGUAAAGGUAAUGCAAUUUACCUUAAACCAUAUCCACAGCCAAGAGGACAGGAAAAAAGACUGAUGAUACCAGGUAAGGAGGGUCUAUUUGUAAAGUGUUUCCUGUCCUAAACAGCCAAGGGGGAGGAGCCAACCCUAUCGUGAUGCUGCCAUGGAUUAGCCAGGAAUUGGGCACAACCUAUGAACUUUGGAUAGUUUAUGAUGCGAUAAAGCGCAAUGUUUCGGUAGAAAAAAUUCUAAGUAUUUAAUUUAUAAAUAAAUAUUAGAGAUGUGCAUGGGAAAAAUAUUCGGUUCGGGUCGGCAUUCCGAAAUUCGGGAGUUUGGCACUUCGGUUCAGAACUUCGAAACUUUGGAACUUUCGGCACUUCAGAACUUCGACACUUCAGAAAUUCGGCACUUCAGCAAUUCGGUUCAGUUCAACAUUCUGAAAUUCGCCACUUCGGCAAUUCGGUUCAGCAUUCCGAAAUUCGGCACUUCGGACAUUCGGAAGCAUCAAUAUAAGCCUGAGAGACUCUGCUAUGGUAAGCAGGGUUCCUGCAUGCAAUCUUCAAUGGAUACUGAAAGCACCAAAAUAACUUUAGCUUAAUGAAGCAGUUUUUGUGUAUAGCUCAUGCCCCUGCAGUAGCACUGCUCAAUUCUCUGUAAUUAAGGAGAUAACCUCUUUCCAUCUUUAGGACAUACCAUGCCAUCCUCCAUUGGCUGGAGCAGUUUUAAAGCCUUGCUAACACCAAUGAGACCCAGGUAUAAAAAAAAUAGUUUUAGACAAUUCGGAUUUCGUUUCAGUUUGGACAAAUUUAGAUCAAGUAAUCAUUUUGAGAAAAAUAAUUCUGACAACCCAAAUGGAGCGCAUAUUGGUCAACUAUUGUACUACAAAAUAUAUGCAUAAUAUAUAUGUAUACAUAUUGCAAUACACAUAUUGGCGCAUUUUCACUCCAUUUGAUUCACAGAUCAAGUGAGAAGUUACCAAUGGAGGGGAAAAAAGAAGGAGCACAAAAAAAAGGAAAUCUAUAUUUAUGUGUUUAUGUAUUAUAUAUUUACAAAAAAUUCAGUUAUAAAUAUAGAAUUUUUUUUACUGCUCUAUUAUUUUCUUCUAUUAUUUAAUCAGGACUUUUGUUUUAGUUGCACUUGAUGUGUAGAAAUCAUUAUAUGCAAAACUGUGGGGGGAAAUCCUUAAGGGGUUAAAUCACUUUUGUUUCUGUCUAUGCAGCCAGCCCUUGCUGCACUUCCCCCAGGACACAGUUCAGUCUCAGUAACAUGGUGAACCUGUUGAGCUUCCUCUCAACAUCAUGACCACUACAGUGAUUUGAAGUGGUCAUAGUGGUAGGAGUUUGUAUGUGCAUCUUUUCAUCUUAAAACACAGCGCAUAUAAAGAUAUUGGCACUAGUAGCUAGUUACAUCCCCCCGCACAUGUGACUUAGGCAGCCCGGACGAAUGUAACAGGCUGCCUAAUGUCAAUGCUGUGCACAGUGGCGGAACUACCGUGGUUGCAGGGGUCGCAGCUGUGACCGGGCCCCCUCACUCUAGGGGAUCCAGCCGCCCUAUGGACCCCUGCGACUGUGGUGCACGCCUUUUUUUGCGACCCAGGGCUGUGCGGUAUAACUGCCGGGGCCGCACGUUAAGGUGCCCAUCAGGUGGCCCAUGCUGUUAGGGACUCCUCUCCGUCCUCCCGCGCGACUCCUGGUGGUUGCUGGGAGGAAGUGACAGCCCCGGCCACUUCCUCCCAACAACCACCAGGAGUCGCGUGGGAGGAAGGAGAGAAGGGAGUCCGAGUGGGAACUCUGACUCCGAUCAGGCUGAGCCACCACUGGACACCAGGGAAGUCACCCUCCUGCAUCUAAAGUAGGAAACAGGAGAGUAACUAAACUAUUUUGUAUAUGUGUGUGUUUGUUUGCAUAUAUGUGUGUGUCUGUAUGAAUGUUUCUCUGUAUGUGUGUCUGUAUGUAUGUGUGUGUGUGUAUGUAUGUGUGUCUGUAUGUAUGUCUGUGUGUGUGUGUGUGUGUGUUUGUAUGUAUGUGUGUGUAUGUCAGUGUGUGUAUGUGUGUGUGUUUGUAUGUAUGUGUCUGUGUGUGUUUGUAUGCAUGUGUCUGUAUGUCUAUGUGUGUGCAUGUCUAUUUGUAUGUGUGUCUGUAUGUAUGUGUGUAUGUGUAUGUGUGUCUGUAUGUAUAUCUGUGAAUGUCUGUUUGUUUGUCUGUAUGUAUAUCUGUGAGUGUGUGUUUGUUUGUAUGUAUGUGUGUCUGUCUGUCUGUGUGUGUAUGUAUGUGUGUUUGUAUAUAUGUGUGUGUCUGUAUAUGUGUCUGUAUAUAUGUGUCUGUGUGUGUGUGUGUGUGUGUGUGUUUGUAUGUAUGUGUGUGUUUGUAUGCAUGUGUGUGUGUUUGUAUGUAUGUGUGUGUCUUUAUGUGUGUGUGUGUGUCUGUAUGUGUGUGUCUGUGUGUAUCCAAUUGUACAGUGCUAUGGAAUUUGCUGGCACUAUAUAAAUAAUAAAAUAAUAAUAAUAUGCGUGUGUGUCUGUAUAUGUGUGUGUCUAUGUGUGUGUCUGCAUGUGUGGGGGAGCCAAUGUAUGGAAGGGGGAGGGUUGACAUAUAGGGAGGUGGCGGGGGGUAGAUGUACGGGGGGGACCCUGGGGCAGUUUUCACACCGGGGCCCUGUGGUUUCUAGUUACGCCUGUGGCUGUGCAUAUUUUACAUCUGUCGUCUGCACGCACAGCGCACUUGCGACAAAUGUGAUCAACUUCCACCCUUGCAGGCAAGCUUUUUUUCCACUCCGUCCCUUCAUUUAUUAAGCCCUUCCCACCUUCCUGCAUUUCUUUUUACCUUUUUUUUUCCCCUUUUCUUCCCUUGUACACACCCUACACCACCUUCACCAACCCAAGCAUUCGUGCUGAGCCAGUAAAACAGUCCAAUUACAGGUUUCUCUAUGAAAAAAGCCUGUGAUUGGACCAUGCAAAGCCCCCUGUUGAUGUCAGACAGAGGAUGGAGAUCGACGCCGGGAGAUUUACCCAGAGCUAGAUUGCUGGUAAGUUUGAAAGUUUUUUUCAGUAUUUAAACGGGGAAGGGUGGAACCUAAUAGUAAUGCUCAAUUUUUUAACUUUAAAAAGACAAUGUUUGAGAAGGGUUAAAGCAACCCUUUAAAGGUACAGUUGGAAAGAAAAGAAAAUGAUAAAGACCAUUAGAUGAUGGAAUCAGCAAGAGUAACUAAUAAAAUGGAAACUAAAGUUUCGCUAGGAAAUAUUGAUUUUGCAGUGAUGGAAGAAAUUUAAACAAUGCUUUAUUAGAUCUCAUACCUGUCAACAAGAUGAGAUCCAUAUGUCUUGAUAAAUUGUUUCAUAUGACACAUACAUAUGGAUAUCGCUAUAUUGUAAGAGACCCAAAUCAUAAUAGGAGCAUGGGCUGAGGAGAGUCUAUCAAGCAGGUUAGUUGACCAAGUGUAAUUUUUUUUUAAACAUUUUUUGUAACCCCAAAAAAUGGGUCGCAAGAGUAUACUGAGAACGGGCAGCAGCUGAAGUAGCCUGCCCUUCGGUGGGUCCCCGCUCAGAUCUCAAGCUGGUUUUUGCUCAUCUUGUGCCAUUACAGAGAGAACAUAUCUGAAGCAUAUCAGACUGGUCCCACCCAUACGGGCAGUCCAGAUCCGAAAUGCCAGCAAGUUCUCUCUGCACGAGAGACACAGCAACCCCAGUACAGCCUUAAAAUCUACACAAACACUAAAUGUAUUUUUUAUUCACAUAUAACCAUGUAUUUUUUAAACCAAGCUCAUAAUAUGAAGCCGUUUUAUGGGGAGAACUUUAGAUGGCAGCAAAAUGUGUAAAGAUAUAUGUGCAAACACAUUUACUAGUUGAAUAAGUUGAGUAGAGUCAUUCCAUAUAUACCAGGUUCUCUGGCAUAGUUUUCAUGCAGCAGAGUGAAUCCACAACAUAUAACUUAACACAUAGUGUCCCAACCAUCCUUGCCAAUAAACUGACCAUGUGCCUAUGUACCACUUCCUCUCACCUCCCCCCUCCGCAUAAACUCCCUUUCCUUCCAAUGCUUACCACCAGCCGACCUUUUCCUCGCUCAGUGGGCACGACAUAACAGGUAACCUAAGGUUAACCCUUUAGAGCAGGGGAGGUUAAGACCUGAAAACUUGCUCACUUCAUUCCACAUACACAUACAUGUAUCCACCUCAAACUUAAUUGGCAAGGACAUACCCCCGGCUAGCUGCGACAAAACAAACCCAUGGGGUGGGCGGGAGGGAAGCUGUUUGUUGGCCCGAAUCCCAAGUGGCACUGAGGUAAGACCACCCCCCACCAACUCACACAACAGAUAAUCCCACCAACACAUUCAUACACAACCAAUCACGUAUCUAUCCCCACACUCAUAUAUGUGCCCUUGCAACAGCUUCAGAGUAGACGUGAAAUGCAGCAAUGUUAGUUCAGAAAGCAUACACAACCACUCUCUAUAAAUAAAAUGUAAAAAAAACAAAGAAAAAGAAAAAGCGUAAGGGAAAUAGCUUGUUUGAUUACAGCUGGAGCAAAACACAACGUCCCACACAAUCAUACUGUAGUCCAGCUUGACACCUCCACAUGUAAGUAUAACGCCAGGCUAGUGGGAAAGACAAACUCUUUAUCUGAGAUAAGUCGGUAUACAUUAGGCUAGGGUUUGUAUACAAACAGGAACUUGUGAGAUUACACCAAUCACUAAGUGACAGUAGAUGUUCUCAAGGCGUUUGUGUCUGGAUUCCUGGAUACAUGGGAAAUACACAACAAACAUUUUUUCCAUAACCAACAUGCAUCUCGUAACCAACAACAUGUCUCCUUCAAUCUCAGUUGAUCAUCAUUCCCUCCUACCACAUUUUCUAACAGUCUACACAAGAGCAUGAUGCAGGACAACAUGCAAACUCAUUACAUGGUACACAGUACAGCCAGUAAGAGCAACAGAAUGGAGGUUUACCUAGCUAGAAUGCUCACUUCCUGGUUUAAACAUGGAGGUGCAUUGUGUGAACCAACAUAGACAUGAGAAGAAAAUUACCAAUACUGGCCAGAAUUAACCAUCCAAAUGCCUGAUUUGGGUCAGACGUAGUGCUAUUACUAUUUGGUUCAAUUCCACCAAGUGCAAACAGAAAAGUAAAUAAAUAGUAAAUUUUGAGCAAAUUGCUGUUGAUGUAGCUUACAGGGAUACUAUAGUGCUAGGAAUACAACGUUGUAUUCCUAUAACUAUACUUCCCUUUGACCCCCUGUCUCGCGCACUCCCCCACAGUAGUGUAAGGGUAUUAACCCUUAUUGUACUUACCUAGUGAGAUUGAUGCAGGGUCAGCGCUCAGUCCCCACAGGGGGGGCGCUAAUGCACAUGAGCAGCGAACACUGCAAGCGCAUUAGACCCUCCUCAUAGGAAAACAGUUUUCCGCUUCCUUUUCUUCCUAUUUGAGAGCCCUCCACGGGGUGUUGUUGAAGGUGAGAUGGGCCCAAAUACCCCAAUAUUUUUGUAUGCUAGCUUCUUCUGGACUUUGUAAAGGAUCCAGCCUGGUGCCAAAUGAUUCCCCCAAUGCACCUUUCUGUCUAGGAGUCAGACUGACAUCAAAUGAUGUAUGCCCUGAUAACAUAUACUAACAAUAUAUUGAAAAUGUUUUGCAUAUGUACUUGGAAUGUCUAAAGCUUUGAUAUUGUGUUUUACGUAUAAAACCAUUCCAUGCACCACCAUACUAAUGCGUGGUAUAUAUGCGUGUACAUAUGCCCCAGGGGCAGACCCAGAACCUAAUCUUGGGAGGGGCACUGGUAGAUCAUUUAAAGGAACAAUGCAGACACAUUAACCACUACUGCUCUAUGCAGUGGUAAUGGUGUCAGGAGUGCCGUGGUGCCCUCCCAGAAUAAGUAGUCAAACCAUUUUAGAACAGUUUGACGACUUACCUGGAGACUGCCGGGAUAGGGGCUCUAGUAGGGUAUAGGGGCAGUAGUAUGUGAGUGGUGCAAUGUGUGUAUGAGAGGGAUGCAGUGUGUGUAGUGGGUGGAUGGUGUGUGUUUGUGGGAUGGUGUGUAUGUGUGUAUGUGAGUGAGAGGGAUGCAGUGUGUGUGAGAGGGAUGAAGUUUGUGAGUGUGUAGUGCAGUGUGUGUGUGUGAGGGGUGCAUUGUGUGUGAGGAGUGAAGUGUGUGUGUGUGUGUUUGUGUGUGUGUGUGUGAUGGGUGCAAUGCUUAGAUCACACAUAUAAGAUUGAUCUAAUGGAAGCAUGCAGGACAUUGAGAGACCUUCUUUCUUUGAAGUUUCGUCAUAAUUUUCAUAAAUCUAAUCACUGAAUACUCCAAGUGUGGCCGUUUAUUGGCUAGGAUGUUACAGAAAAAAAGACAUCUUUGCCACAUCUUUAAAAUCAGUUCAUGGUGAUAGGGUGAAUCAAUUCCCAGCUGAAAUCACAGCUGCAUUCCAGUCAUACUAUACAACCUAACCAUUCUACUGAUGAAGGUGAUGACACACAGUUAGGAUCUCAGAAUUUUUAGACCAACAUAUUUCCAGAAAAUCACCUUCUGACGUAGCGGAGAAGAUAGGCUCCCAGCUGACCUUAGAGGAGUUACAAGACACUCUGGAGCUUUUCAAGGUAAAUCAGGCCGCAUGCCCAGAUGGCCUCCACUUAAAUACAUCAAAGCUUUCAUGGACAUACUGUUACCGUACCUGCUAAUUGGAAAAAUAAUAUUACGUAUUAAUAUAAUAUAUGAACCAUGAUAGAUAGAUAGACAGAUAGAUAGAUAGAUAUUUGAAUCUGUACAAAAAUAAUACAAAGAAGUAGUAAUUAUAAUAUUAUAUGAGGCAUUACAGACAUGAUAUUGUGUCUGCAAAAAUGCACAUAAAAUAUAUAUACAUAAUAAUGAACUAGUUGUCCAUAUAAUGAGGGCUGUGAAAUGACACUGAAUAUGCAUUGCUCAUGGUACAAGAUGUAUAAAAAACUGAAAUCAGAUUGGAACAGAAUUUGGGGAAAAUUAUCUUAGACAAAAGGCCAGAGCAACUGUACCAACACUGACAAAGAUAACUCAGCGGAACUAUGCUGAUAAAGCUUGCACACGCUCUUUAAAAGUCUCUCAAGUCUAUUUUUCAUUUGCUCCCCAAUGUUUACCACUAAAGGGACCUGAAUAGCUCAGUGAUGCCUACUCUGUAUUAAAGUAAUACCACAGUAUCCACAACGUAAUACAAUAAAAGUGGAAUGUGUGGAAUGUGAAGACAGAGAUAUCAUGCACAGAAGUGGGUCGUGUUCAGAAUCCAUACAACAGAAAUUAUUUUUCUGUUUUGUUUUGUUGUUGUUUUUUGUUUUUUUACACCUUAACUUCACAAGAAAAAAAAUAAUUCAGAGGCAAACAGUGCAAAGAAGUGAGUGUGUGUUUGAAAACACAGAUUUCACAGACAUGAAGGGGCAGAAGAGACACUGUUUUUGUGAACCACUGGGAGUCUCUGAUUCAGACACCAUCUAUGUAUCUCCUAAUGAAAUAAAGCCAGGCUGUUUCAUGACACACUGCGUGAUCUUGUUUUAUCAAGAUCGCGCCUAACAGACCUUAACAGGCAGCAGCCCUGGCUGCAUUUCAUUAGAAGAGGCCGAGAUUGUGUCGGAAUCCGAUGCCACUAGUAAAGUACUGGAAAAAUAUUAAAGAAUCCUCUGAGGUUAGAGCUACAUAAUGCAGCUUCUGCUUGUCCAGUAAGUCAGGCCUUAAAUAAGCAAUGACCAUAUACACAUUAAAAAAACUUACUGAGCAGCACUUGCACUGUUAUACUUUACAUAUACUAUAACGUGAUACAAAAUCUACUUUUCAAAUUUUUACUGCAUUAAUCACCGGAUUACUGGAUGUCCUGCAUAAAUGGUCUUCAUUGGGUAGUUUAAAUAUAGUUAUGCACAAUGCCCUUAAUAGUGUACAUUUUGAUGUAACUGUGUGUUUUUGUUUUUUUGUUGUUGUUUUUUAUUAUUUUUUACCAGCAGUCCUCCAUGAAAUUGUUUAAAAUUCUCCUUCACAAUAUUUAAUUGAGUUUCUCAUUUGUGCUGUUUGCCUAAUUGUUUUUCGCGAUAUCAGCAGCUUGAGCUGCCUGCCAUUAAACUCUGCCAUCCACGCUGAGGCAAUGUAAUUUAAAGCUAUGGUUAAAUUAUGACUUCUCUGAACCGGUUGUGGCACUGACGCAUAACCCUAAUUAAACGAUCACAUCCAUUCUGGAGGUGCUCUCUUCUCCCCUCAAACGUUAAUUACAACAUAAGAGUCUUUAAUGGCCUGCCUCACCUCCAGCUUCUCCAAAGAAAGGUCAUGCGAUUAAUUUUUGUCAUUAAUCUUUUCCCAAUGUGGACACUCUGCUGUCACCGCAGCCUAUUAACCCUCUACCCCCCUCCUCUCCCAGCCCUACCACCUCUCCCCCCACCCUCCCUUCCAGUUACUGAAGAAAAUGAAAAUAUUUAAGAAUCGUUUUGUCGUGUUAUAAGCAUCUGGACAGGUCGGUCAUGUCAGGUGCACUCAGGAUUACAAAACGAUAAUGGAGAGAAAUUACUUUUCAAUCUUCACAACAAUCCUUCCUGGCUUUUGGACUUAAUAAAAUAAAGCUGUUUACUGUAAGUGAUCGGCAUCUAUAUAAACCAUCAAGAAGACCUAAUUCUAGAUAUUCUUUUGGAAAGACCAGGUGGUACAGUGGGCAACUAAAGGAACUACCAGGAGACACAAGCAAAGAACUUAUACAAAUGAGGAAGACAACAUCCAAAGUCAUGUUUUAGCCUUAAUGGUUAGCAGGAAAGAAAAGGUUAGCAAGUGAUAUAGAACCGAAUAUUAACCUUAGAAAUGGGAACCAGCACAUUUAUUUUAGUGCCAUGUUCUGAAAAAUGAUGCAAAGUACUAAAGGUGGGGCAAUUACCAUGAAAAGCUGUAGAACCACCAGUCACAUGCCAUUGCUGAUUCCACCACUUCUGAAUCACUGCAACACUUUUCAGAAUAUGACAUUCAAUACAUAUCUCACACCUUAUUUUGUCCACUCUUAAAAUAUAUGGGGGUGAAUAAAUUUGUUAUUAACUAAAAAAAAUUGCAGGAUUAUCACCAAAAGAUUAAAAAAGCUAUAAUACAGAAAAAAAAACCUUUAACUGGACAAGAAAUCAAAUUGCACAAAAUAAGUAAUGGGAAGCUUUGGGUUUCUAUUUAAUGGCAGGUUAGAAAACUGUGCCUGCUCUCACCCCCUUUACAGUCACAUAAAUGCAAGCACACACCCUCCAAUAACAAGGACAUCAGGGACAUCACGUCCCCAUCACAGUACUCAGCCUAAUAAUUAAUAACCAUUAGGAACAAUAAGGCUAAUGCCGGCCACGGCCGGACUCAAUGUGCAGAUUUUCUACUUUAAUGAAAACAAUGAUUUGACUUUGAAGAAAGUGACUUUUUUAAGUGAAAGCUAGAUCCACACUCCCCCACACACUCCUUCACCCCUCCCCUCUUCCCUUUUUUUUCUUUUCUUUUAAUACUCUGCGUUCUAUCAUGCAAAUCCCCUUUCAAAUUAUGAGCGUAUUAGAGCCAUCAGCAGUAAUGUCACCGACACAAAAUGAGAACUGGGACUUAAGCACCUAACGAACAAUGAAAUGUGUGAGCCCUGGGACAGGACAAUUAAGCACUGGGCUUAGCCAGCGAUGGAAAUUUAUUGCCAUCAAAUCCAUAUUUCUAUUUUCCCCCUGAACAGUAACCUAUUUGAAUAUGAUUAAAGGUUUUCAUUAGAGGCAGGAGCUAGGCCCACAUCUCUCUGUUCACUGUUAGCUCACAAACACACACUUUAAAAUAGCACUUUGUGUGGACAGCCGAUGGGACGUCCUGUAACAUUUAGAAGCAAGAUAGUAAAAUGCCUUGUUAACAUCUCUCAAUAUGCCCCUGGUUUGGGGAAACUGUAUAGUUUGUACUAAUAUUCAGCGCUGCAGUAUGUGUUGUGGCUUCACAGAUAAUAAUAGGUGAAAUAGACAUACUUCUCCUGUCUAGAUAUGUCAAUUCCAUUCAGUCGUCACCAGUGAUGUCUGCAAGGAAUUGGCUUUAUCUGUGGAGGAUCCUGUGGUUUCGUGGGAUUCUCCAUAGACCUCAAUGCUGUACUCUUGUACAUGCGCGAGAGGUCAGCAGUAAUGUUGGGUCCUGGCACUGAAGUGCCAGCAGCUGAAGAGGACUUUUCAGGAGUUGUGGCUGUAAGAGCACAUACGUAAUUUAAAUGACAUCAAGAGUGCUAACUAUAAUGUGUGUAUGACAUCUAGAUCACACACAUGGACUGGCAGUAGACAAAUGGCCAUGGUGGUGAUGCCUGAAAGCCUGUGGCUACCAGUCUACCAUUCGUUCUAAGUUACCAUGAAAAGGCAACUGGGUUAAUAUUGAGGAUGACUGCAUGGAGAGGAGUAGGCAACCUUCAACACUCCAGAUGGCAUGGACUACAUCUUCUAUAAUGUUGGCAAAGCAUCUGGGGAGAUGUAGUCCACAUCUAGUGUGCCGAUGGUUACCUACCCUUGGCAUAUAGACUUGAAACAUUUCAGUUCUCGAAUAUGGUAAAAUUCAUAAUUUAAAGAUGUAAAGCACACAUAUUUAUUAUCUGCUAAAGAACAGCAUAAGGCUGCUUUGAUCAAAAUGUAACACAAACCUCUUUCUUUUCAUAAUCUUCUGUCCUAUGGAUUUCUCAUUUACUUGAUGGCCUCUUAUCCAAUACUUAAUUUAUUCUGUCAGUGGAUGAGGUUACUGUGCAUUGUGGAAGUUGUAGUGGUACAAUGUAGUGAUAUGGCAUCUGACUUGCACAGGUUUAGCCAAAACAGCCUUCUAGAAUUAUCCAGUUGAGUUUGUUGCAUGGUUUUUAUCUACUUUAAAUUCUAUCAAAGCUAUUCAAUGAAAAACAAAUUUUAGCACAUUACAUUAAAAUAGCAAUAUUUAGGCCAAAAUAGCUGAUCUGAAAAAUUCUCCAACUCCGCUAUAAUCAUAGCUUGACUAUUUUAGCUUUAAUUUUGCCAUUUCUGUAUAAUUUGCUACAAUCUAACAUUUAUUGCAUAACCCUGCAAGUAUAUGUUUGUGUGAACAAUGGAAUAAUUGUUUAAAUUCACAAGUGAAUUAUAUAAUAAAUAAAUUAAAUAAUGGUAAAUCUUUUGACACAUAUGUAUUAAACUAUAUACUUUUUGGUUUAUUAAUCGGUUUAUAAACUAUGGAAAUUUGACAAGAAAUUGCAGAUUUACUCCAGAAUAGCCAAUAUACAAUUCAGUAUAUUUUUCCAGCUUGUCAUCUUUUGUGUUCAAAUUUCCAAUGCUCCCAUUUCCCAGUUUAGUGAAUAAUACAUACACGGACAGACAAUGCAAUGCUCAUGAAAUGAAUGUUUGUGUAGUACUUGUAACCCACAUGUUAAACAUAGUACAAAUCCCUGAAAAUGGCGAAUCCCAAGACUUUUUUGCAAAACUUGCAAUGUAAUAUUGCACAGAGAUAAAGGCUGAAGUGCAUGUUUGGACAUGUUCCAAUUAACCGUACCCACUAAUUAUUUUGUGUAAUAGCAAAUUAGCUGUUUCAUAGUGGCCAAUGUAUAAUGACCUUUAGCAAACUUAAAAUAUAAUUUUGUGCGGAGGAAUAGAAGAAGUUAAACAAUAAAUAAUACAUUCUAUUCUUCAUCUUUCUCCUAUUCCCCCUCCUCCCCCUACAGAGGCAUCCAGGCUCCUAACGAAACGGAACUGCUGCCAGAUGAAAUAUAUUACUAUUAAAUACUUAAUUCUUCUAGUGUGCGGAAAGCAGGCCGUAUGAAUAUGAUUAUUAAAGAAAAUUACUUUGGCUGAUCAGAUAUUCCUGCAUACUAAUUCCUGACCCCUCUCUUCCUUGUCUCCGUAUAUCUCAUCCCUUAGAGACCAGGCCAGAUAGAAUUCCAUCACAAACAGCUGAUUACAGGAGCUCACCCUGGGAUUCACAUUUUUCUCUCUCCUCCGUUGUCCUUGCCUGGGGUGCCUGUGGCAAUGUGUUAGUGCCAGGGCAGCCCCAAUUUAGACAAACCAUCUCCCCUACUCUAUGAAACCUGCCUCGUCUCCCACUUUCUGCAGUUACUUCACCACCAGACUUGAGAUAUUGGAUAAAAUGUUUAAAUCCAUCUAUUAAAUAGCAAUCUACAUUAAUCUGAGAAGUGUACAAAAACAGAAAGACAUGCAACAUUUUAUCUCCACUACUUCCAAUUAAACCAAUCUUAUAAAAUUCUAAUUAUAAUGGGGCCAGGACACCUAACCAAAAAACCAGUGAGGGCCCCCAAUUGAUAGCUGUGUAAGAAUGUGCAUGUUUGCGAGUGUAUGCUUCUGUGUGUUUAUGAAGGGAUAUGUAUUUGUGUGUGAAUUGCAAAUUUGUGUGAAAUGCAAAAUGCUGUCUAUAUUCCAAGAACAUUAUAAACAAAUAAUGAAAAUGAAAUGAAAGCCAGCUGGCUGGCUGUAAUAUUUUGUGCAUGUCGGUUAUAGUGAGGUGUCUAUUUACUAAACAGUCCAUUGUGAUGCUGUGAUAAUGGCCACGUUAGCAAGUUACCAAUCUUUUUCUGUUCAUCUAAUGGAAAAUAAAAAAUAAUGGAUCUAUUACUUAAUUGCUGUAAAUCAAGGAUCAAUUCAAAGUUUUUUGUUUUUUUAAAAAUACAAAGGAAAAGAAGGGCAGUAGCAUUAGAAUUUUCUACCAUGUAGCACACAAUAUAUACGGUAAUCUCCCUAGAAUCUAUAGGUCGUAUCCAUUUAUCUAGGCAAUAGAAAUAAGAAUGUGUAUAUGUGUUAGAUAUACUCUGUCUCCAUAUAGUCUUUAAAAAAAGCAUUACACAUUAUUAUUUUGUGAUUAUGGCAUUAUGUGUAUGUCAGCCAUCAGUCCUUCAGAAGUCAUUUGCACGUACUAUCACAGUCAGUAUUCCUGGUCCGUAAACGUCACAUUACCUAUUACCUAUAAAUGGAUUGUACAGAGAUUUUCUAAAAAUAUAUUUCUCCCGGAGAAACAUGUAGAGCUUCAAUUUACCUGCCUAGGGAACAGCUCCUCAAAGUGUCACAAUGCUCAUGAGACAAAAUAAUUACAGUAGAUUCAUGCUAAUUUGGAAUUUGAGGCCUGCAUACCAUCUCGUCCUUCUCAUCAGGGGUUCAGACUGCAUAUCUGAAGAAUUUUAGAAGAAAAUAAUUGUCUUUUUACGGAAUGUCCUGGGAUAUCAUUCUACAAUCAGUUUCGAGUAAUCUGUGUUUAACAGAUUACUGUCUCUUCCCAUUUUAUGCCUGUAAUUUAGAAAUGCAUCAUAUUGUUAAGAAAAACGCAACCCAUGGUACACCAGAGGUGCCCAAAAGGUAGAUCCCCAGAUAUUUUAAAACUACAGCUUCCAUGAUGCUUUGUCAUUUCUAAAUGCAUUCGAAAUGCCUGCAAAACAUCAUGGGAGUUGUAGUUAUACAACAUCUGGGGAUCUAACUAUUGGGCACCCCUGUGGUACACGGUUCAUGGUCCAUAUAACAUGUAGAGAGGUACAUGCUAUAUGAUGGUUGAUGUAGAAGUUAUAUGGCUGGUGUAAACUUGUGCAGUCUUCCCACUCAAAGCUAUGCAAGUACAUGGUUUUGUCAAACAGCAUAGUGAGGUAUAUAUAAAAGAAUUGACAUCUAUUGUCUAAAUCAAAUAUUGAAUACAGGUAAUUUAAAAUAAUUAGUGAUCUAUUCACUAAAUGGUGAGUUGUAAGUAGUGAAAUAAAAAAAUUUUUAAGUUGUCUAAUUUGAAAAGUUUGAAAAUUGAGUUUUCAAUUCACCCCAGUUCACUGAUUAGUAACUAACCCUGCAAAUGUUUAAAUAUAUCACCGUUUCAAGCAUGGAGGUCUAAUUGUUAGAAUAAAAUUCUAUUAUCCUAAUUAUAUAAAAAUGAAACCACAUGUAAAAAAUUAAUAACACAGCUAGCAACUAGAUUGCUGAAUUCUAAAAACUCUGAGCAGAAAUUUGACCAGUGUGCUUUAAAUAGGCAGUAAUGGUUCAAAUUUGAUGAAGUGUGAAAUUGGCAUGGAAGAGACGAUAGUGCAUUGUGUGUGAUAGUUUACAGAUGGAAAGAGGGUGAAUUAGAUUGUGUACACAUAAAGACAGCCAGCUAGGGUCACCCUUGCACAUAUCACUGCGACAUUGUCCUUCUGAAGCUUGAGUAUAAUGAAUAAUGUCCUUUCUCUCUGAAUUUUGAGAAUUUCUGUUUGCCAAUGGGGGUCAAAUUAAGAUUCCUGUGUAGAACUAAAACCUUCCACAUACUUUGCAUGGCUGGUAUGGUAUCAUGGUAAGUGUGGUUCGAAAACUAUAAUUAUAAAAUAAAAAACUACAUUGGGUCAUUCAUGCUCUACGACAUGGGUAGGCAAUCUUCAACACUCCAGAUGUUGUGGACUACCGCUCCCAUAAUGCUCUACAUCCAAAAUGCUGGCAAAGUAUAAGGUUAGAUGUAUUCGACAACAUGGAGUGCUCAUGGUUGCCUACCCCUACUCUAUGAUAUCCCCAAAAUUAGAAUAUCCAAAUAAAACACCUUGAUCACAGAAGAGGGUCAUUAAAUCACUCCUGUCCCAUCAGAUACGGGAUAGAAAUCUCCUGUUAGGUUCAACUCACUUACAACAUCCAAUCUAUUUCAUCUCUUUCCCAGAUGCCUGCUGAAAAAAAGACCCUCCGUUCACCUGAAAUAAAGGGAUAUUAGGGACACUAUAGUCACCUGAACAACUUUAGCUUAAUGAAGCAGUUUUGGUGUAUAGAACAUGCCCCUGCAGCCUCACUGCUCAAUCCUCUGCCAUUUAGGAGUUAAAUUCCUUUGUUUAUGAACCCUAGUCCCACCUCCCUGCAUGUGACUUGCACAGCCUUCCAUAAACACUUCCUGUAAACAGAGCCCUAUUUAGGCUUUCUUUAUUGCAAGUUCUGUUUAAUUAAGAUUUUCUUAUCCCCUGCUAUGUUAAUAGCUUGCUAGACCCUGCAAAGGCCUCCUGUAUGUGAUUAAAGUUCAAUUUAGAGAUCGAGAUACAAUUAUUUAAGGUUAAUUACAUCUGUUUGAAAGUGAAACCAGUUUUUUUUUCAUGCAGGCUCUGUCAAUCAUAGCCAGGGGAGGUGUGGCUAGGGCUGCAUAAACAGAAACAAAGUGAUUUGACUCCUAAAUGACAGUGAAUUGUGCAGUGAAACUGCAGGGCAAUGAUCUAUACACUAAAACUGUUUUAGUUAGCUAAAGUAAUUUAGGUGACUAUAGCGUUCCUUUAAUGUGUGCUUUGUGUUGGGAAACAGUAGCUGAAACGUUUAUCAAGCUCACAUAAUGUUUAUAUAUUUUGUGGAACUGUUCCAGGUUGGCUAGAAGUCAGUUAAUGGGGUAACUAUAUUUUAUUUGGUUGUGCUUAAGAUAAUGUGUGUCACAGUGUCAGGGCAUGUUAUUAAAUUGUGUGCAAAUAUCAGUAGCCUUGUGAAUCUAUAUCUAUAAGCUGUUGUCUGGCAUUAACAUAUUAGUUUUACAAAACAAAACACUGUAUUUCCCUAUUCUGUUAAUCAUAGUUUUUAAAAAAAAAAAAUUUUUUGAACUGCAGCAUUAAUAGUUAUUAGGGAGAACGGAGCCCCUCACCCGUGCCUAGGGCGUAGCACACUGAACUAAAUAUGUGUUCCAGGGAUCUAUGUGCAAAAGGACUGAGAAUGUUUAUUUUUCCUUAUUGACUUUCCCCAAAUAAAGCUCAGCUACGGGCCAGACAAACAGGGCAAAGCCCAGCAGCUGUUUACCCAGUGUUUACAACAAAAAGUCUCCACCAUAGCAACAGGUGGAGAUGUGCAGCUAUCCGUAGAGCUAGCUCUGCAGUCACAGCACACUGCUUAACUAGAUAUACAGAGAGAAGGCAAAGCAACGCCUCCCAGUGUCUGCUAAUCACAAUCAGCGUAUCUGGUGCUUGAUGGCUGGCUUAGCAUAAUGGGACAUCAUGUUAAAAAAUAUCCACAGCCCCAACAUUAGGCAGGACUGGUGUAUUAAGAGAUACUAUGGAGAUGCCACAAAAUAUAGGACAACAAAAUAAACAAUUCAGUAGUUUAAGUUUGGAAUUAGUAAAGAUAUACAAGAGGGUUGUAAAGAACUGGUAUAUGGAGCAAUGUUUGGAAAAUCUUAUAAGUUUUAAAUAAAAUGGAAAAGAGAGCAUUCAUAGGAAAUGACGGUUAAUGUAAAAAUACAGUAAUUAAAGAAGACAGUGCAAACAUAAACACACUACACAGAUUACGGUGUCUCAGUAUCCUGGAAUCUGCAGCACUGUUUUCCACAGUUUCUAUGCAAUGUAUUAGCGUAUUAGAGCAUUGGUAGUAUUACUUAGAAACAAAGACCACCUUACUAGUAAGUGUCUUUGUGCAAUACACCUAAUUAUGUAUUUGAUGUUUAUCUACCUAUCUCAAGCUCGUCUGAGCAGGGCCUUCUUCGCUGUCAUAUAUAACCUUUCUAAAUUCUAAAGUAUUGUGGGAUAUGUUGGCACUAUAUAAAUGCUAAUUAUAAUAAAAGAUGGCUCCUCUUUCGAUACCCAGCUUUUUUAGAAUGUCAGUCCCCGUGAUGUUUUGAGACCCUUGAGACAAAAAAACAUCCUUUGAGAAGUGGUUUUCUAGGGCAUAACAUCUUUCCAAUGAGAAAGGACAAAGGGCAGCGCCAAAACUAAUAUCUCCCAAUGCAUGUCAAAGCAUGUGACUAAAGUUUGCCUGAUUCCCUUCCCAUCAGUGAUGAAGGUAAAGAUAUAUCUAAUAACAUGAGAAUUUGCCUUUUAUAAUUAUUAUUAGGUAUAAUAUAUAACGUGAAGGGUUUAUUUACUGAAACUAAAUUGCUUGGGUAUUAUCAUGUCAUCAUCAUGUCAUUCUCUAACAAUAUAACAGAUUUAAGUUGUUAGGUAGAGCAAAAUGGAACGUGCCAAGUGCUGUCUUCGUCUGAUGUCUUAUGUGCUGUAAAAAGUCGGUUAGAUUUCAAUGAAGGGGGAGAACUUGUUGAUAAUCAUGAGUGGGAAUUCAAAGUGAAUUUACUCGAGGUUACACAGUACCUAGAAUACAAGUUAGUGAAUAUAUUGAAAAUAAGUUUUAUUCAUUGACGAUGUAGAUGAUAUCCACCUAUUUUUACACAGUGAGCUUUUCCCAUAAUCUUCUAUGGGCUGGAAAUAGAAAAUUCAGAUUAGUAUUUUUUUUUUUAUCCAUUCUCUGCAAUUCAGCUGUCUCUAAUGCGUUACAAAAAUUAGUGAAGGAUGGUGCAGAGGAAUAUAUCUAAAACCCAGAAUGAUGGGGGACAAAUCACUUUUUAAAGUUGUUGAAUGUUUCAAUGAUAUAUAAUAUAUAUAUAUUCAUUCCAAAAGAAAGCCAGGACUCAAGGACUUAUAUGAAAAAUAUGAAGGUUUUUAAUCCAAACAGUCAACGUUUCAGUUCACUACAGUGAACUUUCCUCAGGACAUGUUAUGAACUGAAACGUUGACUGUUUGGAUUAAAAGCCUUCAUAUUUUUCGUAUAAGUCCUUGAGUGCUGGCUUUCUUUUGGAAUUUGUAUUUUUGUGCAGCUGAGCACCGGGCCAUUAUAAGGAGGAAAGCUGGAGUGCAAAACUUCUACUAAAUUGUGUGUGUAUAUAUAUAUAUAUAUAUAUAUAUACUAAUCAGUCACAACAUUAAAACCAUCUGCCUAAUAUUGUAUAGGAUCCCCUCCUGGUGCCAAAACAGCUCUGAUGCGUGGAGGCAUGGAUUCCACAAGACCUUUAAAUAUGUCCUGUGGUAUCUGGCAGCAAGAUAUUAGCAACAUAUCCUUAAAGUCCAGCAAGCUGGGAGGUGGGGCCUAUUUGAAUCGGAUUUGUUGUUCUAGCUCUAGCACAUCCAAUGGUUUAAGAUCUGGGGAAUUUGGAGGCCAGUUUACACCUUGAACUCUUUGUCAUGUUCCUCAAACCAUUCCUGAACAAUUCUUGCAAUUUGGCAUGGUACAUUAUCCUGAUGAAAGAGGCCACUGCUAUCAGGAAACACCACCACCAUGAAUAGGCAUUCGUGGUCUGCAACAAUCUCUAGGUAUGUGGUACAUGUCAACAUAAUGUCCACAUGAAUUCUAGGACCCAAGGUUUCCCAGCAGAACAGUGCCCAGAGCAUAACAUAGUUCCCCAUGUUCAUCAAUGGGCGGCCAUGUACCACUUUUGUCCUUCCCUGUACCACUUUUGGUAAAUACAUACCACUGCAUACCAGGAACACCCCACAAGACUUGCCAUUUUGGAGUUCGAACCCAGUCAUUUACCAUCAAUAUUUGAUCCUUGUCAUUGUCACUUAGGCCUCUUCACUUGCCCAUUUUUCCUGCUUUCAACAAAUUAAAUUCAAGAAUUGACUGUUUAUUUGCUGCCCAAUAUAUCCCACCCCUUGAUAGGUGACAUUCUAAUGAUAUAAUCAAUGUUAUUUACUUCACCUGUCAUUGAUUUUAGUGUUGUUGGCUGAUCAGUGUAUAUGUAGGUAUAGAUUAACUGUCAUAUAAGCACUAUACAUACAAUAAGUUUGAUAACCAGUCACUUUACGAGAAUGCCUCAAUAUGACUUUGCAAAACGUGUUUUUCUCAAGCAGGUCAGAUCAUAAAGAUGGACACACCCUCUAGGUGUUCAAAAAAGUACUUUGCCGUUUAGAAUGUCUGCCCACAAGCUAUUUUGCAGACUAAUUGUUAUAAAAAAAAUGUUAAUGCCAAAUAAUGAGUUAUUUAUCAUAGGUUUCUAUGUUACUAAAAGUGAUGCAGUCACCAUGGAAACAGGUGAUACCAGCAUAUUCCAUUGGUCACGUCUCCCCUUUUACAUUUUUUGCAUCACUAAUUAGAACUGAACACUUUGAUAAUUCUACCCCUUUCAGCUCAGAGACCAGAUGCUCAGUUUGCACAGGUUUGUUUACAUUAUACCGUCUGUUUUUCCCCAAUUGUACAGCGGUACAGAAUAUGGUGCCUUUCAAUGAAUAAUAGUUAACUUUCACUCGAGAUAUCACACCCCAAAUGACACUAUGUAGGAGGGUCAGUCCUUCUUUGGGGCCCAAAUCACUGUGUCCCUCCUUUCUAUCAUAAUGUCACUCUUUUCUAGGAGCUCCAUUUUAUUGUGUGAGUGUGUAGCAGAGCUCCAUAGUAAUAAUACUCACAGUAAUGUUUAUUUAAACUACAAUUAAUAGGUUUAGAAAUCAGUCUGUUUAGAAAAGAUACAUUGUUCUUGUUCUCAAUUACAUUUUAGUUGCAUAAAUUGUAAUUAGUAAGUCACCUAAACAUUUCUCAGAACAUUCCCAUCCCUGGUCACACCCCACUUAUACCCAUAAAAUUAAAGUGUCCCUCUUUGUCCAUUUUGAACUUUUGGGAGGUAUUAUAUACUUUCUGUAAUGAACUGAAUCAGAGAUUGUGCGUAUUAAACUUUCAGUCUUGUAAUUGUGCUUAUUAAACAGACUUGUAUAUGAUUUUUUUUGUUUUAAAGGAACACUAUAGUCACCUAAAUUACUUUAGCUAAAUAAAGCAGUUUUAGUGUAUAGAUCAUUCCCCUGCAAUGUCACUGCUCAAUUCACUGUCAUUUAGGAGUUAAAUCACUUUGUUUCUGUUUAUGCAGCCCUAGCCACACCUCCCCUGGCUAUGACUGAUAGAGCCUGCAUGAAAAAAAAACUGGUUUCACUUUCCAACAGAUGUAAUUUACCUUAAAUAAAUGUAUCUCAAUCUCUAAAUUGAACUUUAAUCACAUACAGGAGGCUCUUGCAGAGUUUGGCAAGCUAUUAACAUAGCAGGGGAUAAGAAAAUCUUAAUUAAACAGAACUUGCAAUAAAGAAAGCCUAAAUAGGGCUCUGUUUACAGGAAGUGUUUAUGGAAGGCUGUGCAAGUCACAUGCAGGGAGGUGGGACUAGGGUUCAUAAACAAAGGGAUUUAACUCCUAAAUGGCAGAGGAUUGAGCAGUGAGGCUGCAGGGGCAUGUUCUAUACAUCAAAACUGCUUCAUUAAGCAAAAGUUGUUCAGGUGACUAUAGUGUCCCUUUAAUGCUUGUUCCAUUCAGUAUAAUAUGCUUAUUAAAGGACCACUCUAGGCACCCAAACCACUUCAGCUUAAUGAAGUGGUCUGGGUGCCAGGACAUCAGAGAAACUGCUAUGUUUAUCAAUGGGUUAAGCCUUCCUCCAAAUCCUCUAGUGGCUGUCUCAUUGACAGCCGCUAGAGGCGCUUGCGUGCUUCUCACUGUGAAAAUCACAGUGAGAGCACGCAAGCGUCAAUAGGAAAGCAUUAUGAAUGCUUUCCUAUGCGACCGGCUGAAUGCACGCGCAGCUCUUGGCGCACGUGCGCAUUCUGCCGAUGGGGCGGAUCGGAGGAGGAGAGGAGGCAGAGAGCUCCCCGCCCAGCGCUGGAAAAAGGUAAGUUUUUCCCCCUUUCCACCUUCCAGAGCCGGGUGGGAGGGGGACCCUGAGGGUGGGGGCACCCUCAGGGCACUAUAGUGCCAGGAAAACGAGUAUGUUUUCCUGGCACUAUAGUGGUCCUUUAAUGCAGUUCCCCUGGCACCACCAUAACCACUUAGCUUCUGCUCUAAAAAUAUAUGUGGUAUGCUAGAAACAGGGCCUUUUUGCAACCCUGGCCAUCAAGCUAUUGUUGGACUACAUUUCCCAGAAUUCAAGCCCAGUGGCAUCCAGUGAACCAAACUUUCACACCCCUAUUAUAAAUUAACAGCUAAGGUGUUGUAGAUACAUCCCCCCUGAACAGAUCCAAACCUCGGGAGACUGUUCAAAGCAUUUUCUCCCAGAGAUUCUCUAAGCUCUUAAAACAUCCCUAGGGAAUUGUUCAGUCUGUGCCCGCUAUAGCGAUGUUCACCUGAGGUCUGGUACAUUAAGUCUGACACAGAUACUUUAUUGCCCACAUGGGUAUCUGCCUGUCCUUAAAACCAAUUCCUACUGGCAAUUAAAAUGCAGUGUUUUUUCCAUGACUAGACCUUCCAAUCCCUGUCUAAAGGAAUCUGACAUGCAAAUGAGCAGUAGAAAUAUUACAGCACUUCAAAGAAUUUCGGGUAAUUGAAAUUAAUGGCUUAAAGAAAAGUCAUAAAUAUCACUAUUGCAUAUACUAUCUUCUCACCUACAAUAAUGAUUAACCAUUUCAGGAGCCAAAGGUAUUCACAAAGAAGAUUUAUGUAAAAAAUGAACAGCACUUACAAAAUUGCUGUCCUCUAUAAAAUAAUGACACAUUUAUAAAUUACUAAUAAAUACAUUCAUGGUUACACUGAAAUCAACAUAGUAUAUGUUCCCUAUGGAUCUAGAAAUAUACACAGCAUGCUAAAAACCUGUAUUUAUAUAUUUUUGUAUUUAUAUAUAUUUUAAGUAAAUAGCUUAUUUUCAAAAUAUUUUUUUAUAAAUACCAUUAUUAUAUGAAAAAUGUAAGUGCAACUGAUGAAAUCCCAAUGUUUUUGUUCCUCUUUUUGUAUAAUUAACUAUAUCACAUGAUCAUUUAUUAGAAAAUAUAAUACUGUUAUUAUAAUUUUCAAAGCACAAACAUUUUCUGAUGCUCUUUACAAUGAAUGUGAAAACACAUCAACAAAUAUAACACAAAUUGUAAAUGGAACAAAAAUGACAGUAUAUUAUUGCCUAAAUACAUGUACAAUUUAGAGGGAUAAAAUAUAUACAUUCUUCACUCCAUCUAAUAAUAAUUUUCAUUCAUUUACUCAGGUUUGGCAAUUCUGUCACAUGUUGCAAAAGUUUAAAUUAAGAAAAAUAAAAGACAAUUACUAGCUGUAACACAUUACACAGUUGAACUGAUCUAUCUAUAGCAAUUACAUUUAUUCUAGCUAAGAAACAAAUGUAACUUUUGCGGAAACUUCAUUGGUAUCUUAGAUUAAUUAAUAUCAAGUAAAUGAUCCUCAACAAAAUACGUUUGAUUGUUUAAAGAUCUGGACAAUAAUCAUUCCAACAUAAAAUAUAUUUUGUAAAGCAAGGAAGAAAUUAAGAAAAUAUAGAGUUAUAUUAAAGCAAUAUAAAACUCUGACCCCACCUCUUACUCCUAUGGCUAUGAAAAAAAAAAAAAUCUUUUUAAUUUCUGUUUAGGAUAUGAGGUUUCACUUGAAGCGCCUUAUCUCCAAAAUCCCUUUGAACUGCACAAGAAUGCUGUGAUAUUCUGGAAGAAACAAAAUGGGAAUCAGCGGAAAAUAUUAGUAAGUGCUGCGAGAGGCAUGAAUGCCCAAAGAGAUGGACCUGUUCAGUGAACAAAAAAAUGAGAAACUCAGAAAGAAAUAAGGGUGAAACAGGGGUUUAAAUAAAUAGCAGUAGUUUAUAUCCUGACAAAUACUAAGUAAUAGGGCCUAAGAUAAAGCCCGACCUGAACAUUGAAAAAAAACAGUGCAAUUCUGACUGGUUUAUUUACUCAGAUAAUUCAAUAAAUACAUAUUUUACACAGCUCCUCAGAGAGUAGAAUCUUACCUUCCCAUCACUACCAUAGCUGUGUAUAAAUUUAGCAUGAUAAAAUACUGAUGCGACUGGCAUGGCUGGCCUCGGAUCUAGAAAAGAACAGACAGAAAUGGAAAUUUAACCCUUUAUGCAUCGCCAGGCACAGCAGGUAUCAAGUAAUGUUUUUCCAGUCUGUAGGAUAAACGUAAAGAUCAGAGAGUAUCUUAAUUCAGAGCAUCUAAAAAUGAAAGUUUUGAUCACAUGGGUUUAAGAUUAAUAGUGUCACAAAAGCAUUAUAUUUUCAUUUUAACAGUUGAUUGCUAUAUUUUCAAUUGACUAAUUCCAAUACUGCACACCACAGACACUUGUGCCGUGUUCAAUUAAUUGUUUCGGACAAACAAAUUUUGCUAAAUUUACACCAAAGCAUAAAGUUUAGAAAUAAACAGGAUUAUUUUCUAAAACGAGAAUUGCAAAAAAUUCAAAGUAAAUUCCAAAUAAAUUUUACAGUUUACAAUCCUGUUUUCAGUUUGGCUAUUUUGGUCUUAAAUGUGAUAUUUCCUUUGAAUUCCAGGCAAUUCUUACUUUAGUGAAUAACCCUGACAGUAUAGAAUAAAUUUUCUAACAUGGGUAUUUGUUCAGAAUUUUAGCAAAUUUGACUUUCAAUUCACUACAGAUCACUGUUUAGGGAACAGCCACCAUAGAACAUAGAUAUAUCCAGAAAAAAACAGGUCAGUGAUAGGAUGCUGUGGUUAUGUUGCAUGUUAAAUUUCUAGCUUAAUGGUGAUGUAGGAAAACCAGCUUUCUGAGGAAUUUUUUAGACUUCUAACUAAAUUAAACCCAACUAAAACAAACACUAUACGAUAUGUCCGGUAAAUGAUGUAGCUGACUGAGAAUUAGUACACAGAGUAUAACAGAAGUGUUACUUGGAAAAUGCAAGUGACAUUGCAGGAUGGAUUGCUUUUAAGUUCUCAUUUGAAUGCAGUUUUAAAAGGGUAAAUUAUUUAGAGCUAAAUCAUUGCUCUUAUAUGUGUAAAAUAUUUUUGUAUCUUGGGCAUCAAAGCCCUUUAAGCAUGGGGAAAGAAACCAUAUCACUUAAAUAAAACAAUCCUCAGAGUUCUAGUAAAAAUUAAGGAAUUUAAGAUUAGAACAAAUGCUUGUGCUGAGUACAUAAAGGUAAAGUUCUAGGAAGCUAAUCAGGCAGAAUUCACACAGAGUCUUUAUCAUACAUAUGUCAUGUGUUAAUAUAAAUAAACAUGGCCAAACAAGUACAGGAGAUGGUUUGCAUUAGAAUCAGAUCAAUAAUGAAUAUUUUCACAUUUUUCCAAAACAACUUUUUAUUCUUAUUUGGGUUAAUUUACUCAUCUUUUUAACAGCUGGUAUAUUAUAAAUACAUACUAUAUGGUGCAGCAAACAUGGAGUAAAAUAAGAAUAGAUUAAGAGCUACCUAGAAGGGUCACUUUUUAUUUUUUUAUGGUCUGUUUUUAAAUUUUUUCCUUACCUUUUUGAAUGCUGAUUUUUUUUUUUUUUUUUAAAGUGUCACCAAUUUAAAGUAACACCAUAGGCAUCAAAACAACUUUAGAUUAUUGAAGCAGUUUUGGUAUAUAGAUCAUGCCCCCGCAGUCUCACUGCUCAAUUAUCUGCAAUUUAGGAGUUACCGUAUAUACUCGAGUAUAAGUCGAGUUUUUCAGCACAUUAUUUGUGCUGAAAAACCCCCACUCGACUUAUACUCGAGUUAAUGUCUGUAUUAUGGCAAUUUACAUUGCCACAAUACAGACCAGGACCGCCGGGCUCAUUACAAGCCCGGCGGUCCUGUUGGGGGCUGACAGUGAGAGGUUACUUACCUUCCUGCAGCGCCUGUCAGCUCCCUCCUCCUCCGUGCAGCUCCUCUGUCAGCUCCCACUGUAAGUCUCGCGAGAGCCGCGGGGUCACCGCGGCUCUCGCGCAGGGCCGGCGCGUCCAUAAGGCGGCACAGGCGGCCGCCUUAGGGCGCACCGGCCCGGGGGCGCAAAUGUCCGGGUGACCGGCAGGAGGGAAGCGCACAGCUCCCCUCUCCUGCCGGUCACUUCUUGUAGUGUGGCCGAGCGCCACCCUGCAGUGCCGCGGACUGUGUGGAGGGGGUGGGGAUAUGAACGUCAUAUCCCUGCUCCCACUGUAGCACACAGCGCGGCUGGCGCCCAGCAGGGGCGGAGCUACGGGCCCCCUUCUAAUCAGCAUGGGAGGAAGUCCUCCCAACAAGACUAGGGCAGCAGAAGGCAGAGAGGAGGGGGGCUGGGCAGGACCAGCUCCUCCAACUCCCAACUACCUCAGGCAGCACUUUGGAUCCCAGGUAAGCCCCCCUCCUGAACCUGUUGGUCAGUGUGUCUGUGUGUAUCCAUGUCUGUCAGUGUGUGUGUGUGUGUGUAUGUGUGUGUGUAUCCAUGUCUGUCAGUGUGUGUGUGUGUGUAUCUAUGUCUGUCAGUGUGUGUGUGUGUAUCCAUGUCUGUCAGUGUGUGUGUGUAUCCAUGUCUGUCAGUGUGUGUGUGUAUCCAUGUCUGUCAGUGUUUGUGUAUGUAUAUGUCUCUGUCCGUGUGUUUGUGUGUAUCUAAAUGUCUGUCAGUGUGUGUGUAUGUCUGUCUGUUAGUGUGUCUUUGUGUAUGUCUAUCAUUGUGUAUGUGUGUAUCUGUAUGUUUGUCAGUGUGUUUGUAUAUGUCUGUCAGUGUGUGUGUAUCUAUGUCUGUCAGUGUGUGUAUGUAUAUGUCUCUGUCCGUGUGUUUGUGUGUAUCUAAAUGUCUGUCAGUGUGUGUGUAUGUCUGUCUGUUAGUGUGUCUUUGUGUAUGUCUAUCAUUGUGUAUGUGUGUAUCUGUAUGUUUGUCAGUGUGUUUGUAUAUGUUUGUCAGUGUGUUUGUAUAUGUCUGUCAGUGUGUGUGUAUCUAUGUCUGUCAGUGUGUGUAUGUAUAUGUCUCUGUCCGUGUGUUUGUGUGUAUCUAAAUGUCUGUCAGUGUGUGUGUAUGUCUGUCUGUUAGUGUGUCUUUGUGUAUGUCUAUCAUUGUGUAUGUGUGUAUCUGUAUGUUUGUCAGUGUGUUUGUAUAUGUCUGUCAGUGUGUGUAUCUAUGUCUGUCAGUGUGUGUGUGUAUGUAAAUGUCUCUGUCCGUGUGUCUGUGUGUAUCUAAAUGUCUGUCAGUGUGUGUGUGUCUUUGUGUGUUUGUGUAUGUCUAUCAUUGUGUAUGUGUGUAUCUGUAUGUCUGUCAGCGUGUCUGUAUGUCAGUGUAUGUUUAUCUGUAUGUCUGUCAGUGUUUGUGUGUAUCUGUAUAUGUGUGUCUGUCUAUCUGAAUGUGUAUCAGUUUGUGUAUAUGUAUAUCUGCAUGUGCGUCAGUGUGUGUAUCGUUGUGUAUGUGUAUCACUGCAUGUGUGGCAGUGUAUGUGUAUAUGUGCAUAUAUCUCAGCAUUCAAACACCAACACUACACACAAAUAAACACCUGCAUGCAAACAACAACACUACAUACAAACACACACCUGCAUUCAAAUGUCAACAUUACAUACAAACACACCUCUGUAUCAGACACCAAAAUUAUAUAUAAACACACACCUACGUUCAAAAACCAACACUACACAUAAAUGCAUGCUUGCAUUCAAAUGCAAACACUACAUACAAACACACCGCUACAAUCAUACAAACAUACUCCAUACAAACACAUGCUUACAGUCAAACACACAAAUACUGCUCCAUGCUAAAUACAAUACUGCAAGCACAGGGAAUCGGUAGAGCCCCAGCUUUCAAAGCAUUGUUGAAGUUGCACGACAGAUGGGGAUCUAUCUUUUAGCCAUCCUGUGUACAUACACAGACCUGUCAUACAGAGACAUACAGUAUGUAUGUCUCUGUAUGACUGUGUGUAUGUAUUCAAAAGGAAUAAACGCAGUCAACACUCCAAUAGUACGGAUGGUAUAUUUAUUGAUAGGUGAACCACCCCAAAGAAAGUGCGUGUUUCAGCUCAGCAGAGCCUUAUUGCAUGAGCUGAAACAUCACACUUUCUAUGGGGUGGUUCACCUACCAAUAAAUAUACCAUCCUUACUAUUGGAGUGUUGCCUGCGUUUAUUCCUUUUGAAGACUUUACUGGUGGAUCCAGCGAUGUCCGCCUGACACGGAGCAUCCACCACUGUUGAUGGCCGGAGCAUUUACACGGUAUCAGUGUGCAGGGUUCUUUGUUUGUCUGUGUAUGUAUGUCUCUGUAUGCCUAUCUCUAUGUUUCUUUAUGUCUGUCUGUAUUUCUGUGAGGGCCUGUGUCUGUAUGAAUGUAUGUCUGUGUUUGUAUGACAAUGUACCUGUAUGUGUAGAUUGUAUGACUGUGUUUGUUUGUGUGCCUUUUAUGACUGUGUGUCUGUAUAUCUUUGUGACUGUGUGCCUGAAAAAUUAUGUCUGUGUGCUUGUAUGGUUGUGUGUCUGUAUGUUUGUGUAUUUGUGCAUGUAUGUAUUUUUGCCUGUAUCUAUGUCUAUGUGGAAGAAAAAGAGAGAUAGAUAGGGGCUGGCGGGGAAGUAAGAAAUACAUAAGAGGUGUUGUAGGAAACACACUAAAGGGGGGUGUAAGGCACAAAGGGGCCAAAGGGAUAAGACAUUCAAGAGAGUGGAUAUGCAACACUAAUGGGGGUAAGAAAUUCAAAAGGGGGCUACGAGACACAGAGGUGAAGAUGCAUUGUAUUUUUUUUUUUUUGGGGGUGGGGGGGGGCGUCAAAAUGCAUCUUCGCCUGUGUAGUCAAAAAUCCUAGCACCGGCCCUGCUCUCGCGAGACUUACAGUGGGAGCUGACAGAGGAGCUGCACGGAGGAGAAGGGAGCUGACAGGAGCUGCAGGAAGGUAAGUAACCUCUCACUGUCAGCCCCCCCUCCUAUACAGCCCAUACACUGGACCACCAGGGAGUGAGGGGGGACAAAAAUUAAAUUAAAUAAAUAAGAAAAAUACAAUGAAAAAUAUUAAAAUAAAAAACGUAAAAUAUUAAAAUAAAUAAAAAAAGUAAAAUAUUAAAAAAUAAUAAUAAAAUAAAAAAACUUAAAAUAUAUAAAAAAAUUAUAAUAAAAAUGCCCUCCUCCCACCCAGUUCAUACACACACACACACACACACACACACACUCAUACAAACAAUCUGCAUUCUACACACACACUCAUACAAACACACACACACUCUGCAUUAUAUACGCACAGAGUGUGUGCGUAUAUAAUGCAGAGUGUGUGUGUGUUUGUAUGAGUGUGUGUGUAGAAUGCAGAUUGUUUGUAUGAGUGUGUGUUUGUAUGAGUGUGUGUGCGUAUAUAAUGCAGAGUGUGUGUUUGUAUGAGUGUGUGUGUGUAUAAUGCAGAGUGUGUGUUUGUAUGAGUGUGUGUGUGUAUAAUGCAGAGUGUGUGUUUGUAUGAGUGUGUGUGCGUAUAUAAUGCAGAGUGUGUGUUUGUAUGAGUGUGUGUGCGUAUAUAAUGCAUAGUGUGUGUUUGUAUGAGUGUGUGUGCGUAUAUAAUGCAGAGUGUGUGUUUGUAUGAGUGUAUGUGCGUAUAUAAUGCAGAGUGUGUGUGCGUAUAUAAUGCAGAGUGUGUGUGUUUGUAUGAGUGUGUGUGUGUAGAAUGCAGAUUGUUUGUAUGUGUGUGUGUAUAAUGCAGUGUGUGUGUUUGUAUGAGUGUGUGUGUGUAUAUAAUUCUAAAAAUCACAGAAUUUCAUAGCUCCAAGUUUUACCCUCGACUUAUCCAUGAGGCAUAGCAUAUUUCACAAUUGUUGGUCACAAAACUGCCCUCGACUUAUACAUGAGAUCGACUUAUACACGAGUAUAUACGGUAAAUCACUUUUGUUUCUGCUUUGCAGGCCUAGCCACACCUCCACUGGCUGUGACUGACAGGCUGCAUGAAAAAAUGGUUUAAUUCUCAGUCAGAUAUUAACUUACUUUAAAACAUUUUUUGUUUUACUUGAAAAAUAUUUUCAAACAAGUAUGUGUUGCCAUAUCAGAAAAAUCAAACAUUGAUGCGGUAUACAAGGUGACCGUUAGUAUUGCACCUUUUUCAAUAAGGACAAAACAGGAACAGUAAACAGUGUAGUUAGUCACAUCUACAUAGUGGAGUAGGCUCAUUGGAGCCAAAAGGUUCUGAUCAAGUGCGAGGGUUCAUAGUCGGGCUUAAACUAUAGUUUACUUAUGCAGCUAUGUAGCCUGUGUGAUCGACUUUCGUAACUACUACGUAACAAGCUAAUCGUGGUGAAGCUAAUGUUGGGCAGGCAGGGGUAGGUCUUGCUUUCUGCAGUGUCCUGUGUCUGCAGGGUGCCUGGCUAGUCGUUUGCUCUCACGAGAGCAGGAAUGGUGGGUCUAUUAGCUAUUCUAGUAUUCGGACUGCCCUGCUCUGCCUCUGCAUUGGGGGUGAUAGCAGCGGGAGGGGGGGUGAGGUGGGGGGAUGUGAGGUAGGUGCCUGUCGGGGUGACAUCAGUGUUGUGUGUUCCUCAAGAAGUGCGAGGUUUUAGGGCCUUGUGAACUUGCUUUAAACAUUUUUAUUUCCUGCUCUGUAAAGCUCCAGCAGGGUCUAGCAAGUGCAUGAGAUAAAAAGUAUCAAACAAAACAGAAUUUGCAAUAAAGGAAGUGUAAACAUUAGAUGUCUCUUUACAGGAAGUGUUUAGGAAUAGUGUGUAGGUCACAUGCAGGGAUGUGUAACUAGGGCUGCAUUAACAAAGUGGUUUUACUCCUAGGUGGCAGAGAAUCGAGCAGUGAGACUAUGAUCUAUACACCAAAAUUACUUCAUUAAGCUGAAAUUGUCUUGGUUCCUAUAGUGUCCCUUUAAGUGACAAACUAACAAUGUAAAGUGCUAUUGUGCUUUGUACCUUUGGAUGUAUAGUAAAGCUGGGUUAUUAGUUGGGCAGGAGUUGGAAGGCAUAAGGUUAUAGUACAAGUAGUUUUUGGGUGCUGUCCUUCUUGUCAAAUAGUUUGUGAGUGGUAUUAAAAACGGGGCUGUCCCGGCAGCCAAACACAGAUCCCUCUGCUGCCACUGAGAUAAUGUGGAAGUUCAAUUUCCACAUUGUCCUUACAAACCUGCCUUCAUUUUGGACAGCAGUUAUUAUGAGCACUUGGGUGGCUUUAUACAGAUUUGUACAGACAAUGUUUAAGUGAGGCUAUGCUUCAGGUGUCAGGAGAUGCCGAGUUUUUUGUUUUUUUCGUAGAACACAGUUGGAGUGUCAGCACCUGAAUACUUCUUGCAUCAGAACCACUAUAAUAUGUUGUAGGGAUUAGGGAGCUUAGAACAUUACUUAAACAUAUAGUAAUAUAAUAUUGCUGAUUGGUUAUGAAUAAUUUGUUUUUUCAAAGCCUUUAAUGACAGAUGGUAAGACUAGAGGCAUACCUAGGAUUCAUGGCAUGCAAGACAGAAAUGCAUUAAGGACCCCAACCACAAACUUUAGAAGUUUGUCUCACGCCCAAACACCUUUUAGUUAGUUAAAUUAGACACGCAUCCUUAAAUUCAUAAAACCUACAUAUUCAUAUAUACAUCGAUAUACAUAUACGCAUCAAUAUACACACAUGAACACGUAUAUACAGGCACACACAUCCAUAUACACACACACGCAUACAUACAAAUGCAUACACAGACUCAUAUACACACAGACUCACAUAAACACAUUGAUAUCUGCAAACAGAUUCAUACACAGACUCAUUUUUUAUUCUAUUAAUUUAUUAUAAAAUAAAGGUCCAACCCGCCUCCCUUUUCUUAUCUUGAAAGAGGGAGUCAGAACCCUAUCUGAUGUCCAGUGAGUGUUAUUGGGGUCUUUCUUCAUUGAUUGCCCAACUUCUAGCAGCUUUGUACUGACGUAGGGACUGAAAUGAUGUCACAUCCCUGCUGCAGCUUUAGUACAGCAAGCGCAAAGAAGGGUGGGUAAUCGGUGCAGACAGUCCCUUCAACCCCCUCUCUACCCGCUCUGAAGUCGCAUACAACAGCCACAGAGCAAGUAUAUGUUGCACAGCACCCCCACCAACAAUGCGCCAGUCAGCAGUUGCCUGCUCUGUGCAUCCCUAACAGGAAAAGAAUAAAAAUGUCUACUAUCUAUAUCGUAUUAACAAGACCGACUUUUUAACUAACUUAACUAAAAUGAGCAGGCAGGGAAACUAUUGAACAAAAUGACUUCUUUCCUUAUUCUAAAGUAGUUUGGGUGGAGUAUGCAGAAAGUUCAUUACAUUCCUAUAUUUUGCUAAAAAUGUCCUGGAACGUUCCUGCAUUUCCUACGAUCAGUUCAAUUGUUUUUUCAUCCCACCCUGUAAUUGUUAAAGUAGACGUGACAUGUAAAGUCAGCUUUUGCAUUUGUAAAAAGGAAAAAAAUAAAACAUAUAUUUUAAUAUCAUACCUAAUUAACCAUUCACUUACCUUUAAAAAAAAUUUCGUGUAUGAGUCCUGCACUAGUUAUGAGACUGAUUGGAAUGCUUUUAGAAUACAUCAAAUUAACACUAUAGUCACCCAGACCACUUAAGCUCAGUGUCACUUUAACCCUGUUUUGUAGAAACAGCAUUUGAUUGGAGGUGUGUGGCUUUUGUCUGCACAAGGCUAGUUCCAUCACCCAACAUUACUGAACGAGGAGCUGGAAGCUGCAGUGGAGGAGUCUUAACGCUGGUAAGGAGAUGACUAAUGUUUAUUUUACUUAAAUAUUUUAUCAGCAAAGGCGGUGUGGACAGAAGGGGGUGGACAGAAGUGAACCUCUAGUCCCGAAAUAACGAUUGUUAUUUUUGGAACUAUAGGUUCCCUUUUAACAAGCAGCUUUUCAGGGUUAGUUGUGUAUUAAAAGAGAAUUGUGCACAAAUACAUUAGUCAAGUAGGUUGAAAUAGAUCAUGAGCAAAACGUGUAUUUAUAUAUAUGUCUUUAAAAUAUUCUUUUAAUCAGUUUAAUACCUUCCCAACAGAUUAACCAUAACAAAAUAUUUUUUCUGUAUUUUUAUUGUAAAUCUUUAUUUAAAGGAGGAAGGUACGAUGAGAAACAACCAUGUGGCAUACAUAGAUGUACAAUGCCUGGUUUUAUACAACAACAAUAAUAAUAAUAAUAAUACCAGAAUAACCAUUAAGUGUAAAAACAUAUCACAUGAAUAAUAAAGCUAAAACUAUGACCACAUAUACGAACACAUUUGGCCAACUAAAAAGGUCAAAUAGAAACCACUAGUCAUGAAGUAAACUAAAAAUCUGCAUGUGGUAGAAGAGAGAUAGAACGGACCAGACACCACAAGAAUAAGAAACUAAGCAAGAGAAGAAAAAGAGAGAAGGGGAGGCAAUGAGUACUUUGUUUCUGUAUUUAAUCACUUGAAGGUCUGACAACUUUUUAAUGUUGGGGUGGGGGGGGUUGUUAUGAUGGAGAGAAUUACCAAAAUAAAAUAAAAUAAGGCUGCAAUGACAUGUAAGGUGAGUAGCCAAUCAUGACUGCUGACCCAGCAGUCCCAACCAACAACCCGUUGCCCCAAAAUAAUACACGUGACACCUCAUUCUUGUGGAUAAGGGCAAUGGCCACAGCUUUAUUUAAAUUAACAAUUUAACUCAGUCCAAAUCUGCCAGAUGUUGGGUGUUUGCCCAACAGGCAGUUCUCACACACAUUCGGUGUCAUGAGCCUCGACAGCCAGCUCCUCGCCAUCAGCUCCAUGCCGGCUGUCGUCUCCCCAAAGUUCCUUUCUUCCUCUGCACUGUCUAGGGAAACCACCAAGAUGUGACAACACAAAAAACAACAACACGAGACACAAGCCACAACACCAGAAACAGGGGGGGAGGGUGGGAAAACAGUCAGGAGCCCUCAACUGAUUCUGCUGACUGGUAAGUCCCCUCCCUCUCCCUUCCCUUAAGAACCCCAAUCUUAGCAACAUUGUAACUUCCAUGAUCCAUCCCACUAUCUUGGGCAGCAGUCAUGUCCCCCCUUCCUUAUUGUUCCAGGGGGAAUAUAAAUAUGGUGUUUCCAGAGAAACUCUGAGAUUUCCACUCUGAACAAAGAAAAAGAAGCAAAGGAUAGUAGGAAAAGUAGCAUUUGAUUUUUAUCGAACAAAAAAACCCUGAAUUUAAGUGACCAUCACACAGUAUAGCAUGCCUCCCAAGUGUUCCUAUUUAGGAAGGUCAGUCUGUAUUUUUGGGCCCAAAUCCCUCUGCCCCUCUUUUUCUAUCUAUGUUCUAAAUAACGUUUCAAUUGCAUAAAUUGUUAUUACUAAAUCACAUUAAAUAUCUAAGAGCAGCCCUACCCCUGGCCAUACCUCACUCACUCCCGUAAAAUUACAGUGUCCCUCUUUGUCCAUUUAACACAUUGGAAGGUAUGAGAUAAGCAGUUUUAAAAUGCUAUAUGAAUGUCCAUCGCACAAUUCCGAUGAUCAAACACAUUGACAAAAUCAGCCUUUUAAUGCAUCUUCAGCAAAAUGUUUAUCAUAAUACCUAUACAUAUAAUUCAAUCCUUGAUUUGCCAUGACCUAGUUAAAACAUAUUUUUUUCACAAUAAGCAUUACAAGUUACAUAUUUCACAUUAAUCCUAAAGAAAUAUGCAAAUUUAGAUUUUCUGAGGAUGUAAGGCAGUUUUUCUCUGCAAAUGAAAAACAAUUGCUAUAAUUUGGGACAAAAAUUACAAAAUUAGAUUUCUACUUAAAGCUAUGUAUAAAUAACAAUAUAUCUUAAAAUAAAUCUUUAAACAAUAAUUAAAAAAUGGAGCCCAUUUUUGACCGUCCCUUGCAAUGCCAAGGAAGGCAUUUCACCAGAUUGUUUUGAGACAGCCCCUGCACUGCCUUCCUAUGAGCCAUCACCCAGCUUGUUAACUUCCCUCACACUGGCAGGAGAACGCUCGCAGUCUCGAAGCUGUGCGCUGUAACACUUGCACAAAUCUUUAAUUGUUUAGUUUAAGAAUUGUGUUUUGACCGCAAGGAGAUUUUGGCUUGGGCUCAAGAAGUGAUAAUGAUAUUUUGCUGCCAAAAACGUCUGCCGAGCUUUCCCUAUGUUAAUGCGCACUUUUCAGAAGCCCCAAUUAACUGCAUCAGCACUCUUGUGGAGAACUAAGAGACAGAGAUACAGCGAAGGGCUUGUCUUAUGCUAAAGACAAAAAAAAAUAAAAAAUGUUCAAGAAGACAGUGGACCGGUAAUACGCAAGCUUUAUUUGAAGUGGCAGUGUAUGGUUAACCUGAAAAUGGGAUGUGUUCAUUAAAUUUUACGUUUCUCAACUAGUGUGUGAUAUGCUGAUUCCUAGCUUGCACAAUACUCAAUGUUUAUUAGGUUGACAGACCAUCUUAAUGGUAUUGUGUACCACACCUUUUAACUCAGAACGCCGAAUUUACAAGACACUGUUGUAAAAGACAAGAAUGAGGAAAAAAGAGAGAUUUCCAAUGAUCUGGACCACAAAUAAAAGCUGCUUAUUUGAUAUACAGAAUUUGGCAGGGACACAUAUUCUCUACAUCAUUUCAUACUGUGAUUCUAAAGGUUCUAAUUUGUAUAUCUCAAUAAAAUAAACCUAGAUGGUGUCUUUGUCACAAUAUCUUUAUUUCUAUGUCUUCUUCAAGCUCAUAUUAGGCACAGAAAGUGUCCCCCUGGACAAAUAGGGAAGGGGGAGCAUGACUGCUGCCCAGGAUAGUGGGAUGGUACAAUGGUAGCAACAAUGUUGCAAAGAUGGAAGGAUUCAUAAAGGUGAAGCAAGGGAGGAGACUUACCAGUCAGAAGGAGAUAGUCAGUCACCCUGGUUUAAUUUUUCUCGCUGACUGUACUGUUCUUUUGGAGUUGCCUUUCUUGUGUCUGUGGGGGAAUACCUGGGCCUGCAAGAAACAAACCAAUCAAUAGAUCUUGCCUAAGUGAGGAUCAAGCUUCAACAUGGCCACCCCAUCGCUGGAGGAAUUAGUAAAAAUGAUGGCAGCUUACCAGGAGUCCCAUGGCUCCUUAGAACAGGUGCUGUCUCAAGUGCGGCAGGCUGCAGGAGGACGUCUGGAUCGGCCUGAGGGAGCUGAGGAGUCGUUAAGCGGGCGGAGGGCCAGGAGGUCGAGGCCUCCGUCGCGUUUGUCUCCAAGCCCGGUACGGAGGAGCGGCGGGAGGAGUGCCCAGCGGUCCGAGGAGGGGAGCGGCGAUGCCGGGCGAUUGCCGGCACGCAGUGUGCCCAGCCGGAGGCGGAGGAGGGCCGGUCAGGUACUUGCUGUGGCCGGGCCCCAAGAUGGCGGAGAUCCUGAUGGCGGGAACCCGGCCGGAAGGUCGCGCAGCCCGCGCCCUUCUCUUCCGGCGCGGGUAAGGGAGUCGUCAUCACGCACGCAAUCCUGCGUGCGUGCAACGCCGGACGUCAUGACGCGAAGAAUGCCGCGGCGCGCAUGCGCGCGGACGUCACGGGCAGGAGCCGGAAGAUCACCUGCGGUGCGUGAGCACCCCGAAGAUUCGCGACAAGGACCGCAGAGGUACGCUGCCGGUGCCUGCGGGUCCCAGGAACGGGAGGAAGAUGGAUGCCAAUCCGGUUUGCACUCCGGAUCUGAAGAAGAGGAUGCCGUGUUCCCCAGUGGGUCCGGUCUGCCUCCUGCAGCAUCAGCGCGUGAGUAUUGCGCUUGCGCCUGGGAUGCGCUGGCUGAGGGUGAUAGGGGGUUGGGUUCCCAAGACAGGAGGGAGCUGGACAGACAGGAUUUAGGGAGGCAGCUAGAUGGGGAGAGUCAAGGGGAUUUAGUUCACUUGUUGAGGUCGGUAUUGGAGAGGUUGCCUGUGGCUGUCCCCUCUUCUACUCCGCUAAGUCUGCGGGGGGCUGCGUCGCAGCUGCCAGGCAGGAACAAAGGGCUGGGUAUUAUGCGCCCACGGUUGCCGGGCUGUGAGCUGUCCCCACUGGGUCUGCAUGUGGCAGCAGACGUCAGGGAGAAAAUAGUUCGGGGUGAAUAUGUCGACUUCCUGUCGUUGGUUCCUCCGGAUAGAGAAUCGGUGGAUAGACCGCGGCGAGGUGACCUCGGUGACAGUGAGAGAGGUAAGCAACUUCCCCGCACUUUUGGGAAUUGGCUACAAGGUUUUUCAGUUUUCGCCAGUAUUUUCACUGCUAGUUUUCCGGACAAGGCUCCCUCCUUGUUCGGUUACUUGGAUCUCAUUUGGGGGGCGUACAAGGUUUAUGGGGGGCAAUGCUGGUACCGGUAUGACCAGCAAUUUCGGCAGAAGAUGGCGGUCAGCGAGGGCAUGGAUUUUGGGGUGCAGGAUGGCAGCUUAUGGCUGCUGUUGAUGACGCCCUGCCGGCCAUCCCCCUUUCCAGGGACUGCCGGCGCACAGGCUAGUGCGCCGGCAGGACAGCGUAGGGGAGUCUGUUGGCUCUUUAAUGAGAGCCACUGUAAGUGGUACAAUUCAUGCAGGUUCCGGCAUGAGUGUUCGCACUGUGGCGGAGCACACCCCGCCGUGCGCUGUUUUAAAAAAGGGAAGUCAGGGGUGCGCCCCAAGGAAGACGUUCCUAGACAGGAGGACGCCGGUGAGCGUCGAAAAGAUGCGCCCGUGGCUCGACCGGUAUCCUAAACGGCGGGAAGCGGGUAUUUUAUUGGACGGGUUUUUAUUUGGGUUUUGGAUUCCGUUUGUUUUGUCUGAGGCACCGUCGUUUGCGGGCAAUUUACGUUCGGUUUCGGGAAAAGAGGAUAUUCUGGGUCAGAAGUUGGAAAAAGAAGUGUCCUUGGGCCGCAUGGCAGGACCUUUUCCUGAGCCCCCGUUUGUUAACUUGCGAGUGUCGCCCCUGGGCUUGGUCCCUAAGAAGGAGCCUGGCGUCUUUCGUCUCAUUCAUCACCUGUCUUAUCCAGCUGGUGGAUCAGUGAAUGACGAUAUUGACAAAGAGGUGUCCAGGGUGCGCUAUGCUUCAUUUGACAGGGCUUUGGAGUUAGUGAGAGAUGCAGGGUCCGGGGCGUUGCUCGCCAAAUCGGACAUUGAGUCGGCUUUUCGUCUGCUGCCGGUUCACCCUGACUGUUUCCAUCUCCUGGGUUGUCAAUUUAAUGGUUUGUUCUUUUAUGACAUGUGCUUGCCCAUGGGGUGUGCUAUUUCCUGCGCCUACUUCGAGAUGUUUGCGACAUUCUUGGAAUGGGUGGUGUCACAGGUGUCGGGUUUGUCCACGUUGACCCACUACCUGGAUGAUUUUUUGUUUGUCGGGUCGGGAGCUUCCGACGACUGUGCGGUGUUGUUAAGGGCUUUUCGGCAGAUUACGUCAGAGUUUGGUGUACCGGUGGCGGUAAGCAAGACGUUCGGGCCGGUGAAUAAGUUGGCUUACUUGGGGAUCGAGAUUGACUCUUGUGAGAUGGUCUUUCGAUUACCAGAGGAGAAGCUGGGGCAGUUACUCUGCCUUGUUGACCGGGUUAAGGGCUCCAAAAAAGUACAGUUGCAGCUGAUGCAAUCGCUGUUGGGUCAUCUGAACUUUGCUUGUCGUGUUCUGUCCAUGGGCCGUGCGUUCUGUCGACGCUUGUCCUUAGCUACGGUGGGGGUUGUACAGCCGUUUCAUUUUAUUCGGAUUACAAGUAGGCUGCGGUCGGACUUGCAGGUGUGGAGCGCUUUUUUGGGUACGUAUAAUGGUCAUUCUUGUUGGUUGCGUUCGGAGGUGUCUAACGAGGAGUUGGACUUGUUUACUGAUGCAUCAGGGUCCAUAGGUUUUGGGGCUUAUUUUCGGGGGCAGUGGUGUGCGGCGGAGUGGCCGGCCAAAUGGCGGGGUUCAGAGUUCAUGGGUAAUUUGGCGUUUCUAGAGUUGUUCCCAAUUGUGGUUGCGGUCGACUUGUGGGGUGCGGGCUUAGCGCACAGGAAGGUGGUUGUUUACACGGACAACAUGAGUGUGGUUCAGGUAAUCAAUCGUUCCACGUCUGGGUCCCCUCCGGUCUUGGCAUUGCUUAGACGGCUAGUGCUACUCUGUCUUCAAUGUAAUUUGUGGUUGGUAGCCAGGCAUGUGCCGGGGGUAGACAAUGUCAUUGCUGACUCUCUUUCUCGGUUUCAGUGGGACCGUUUUCGGGAGGCGGCUCCGGAGGCGGCGCUGACGGGAACCCCGUGUCCGCCUUACUUGUGGGACCUGGUUUCGGACAUUUGAGACGUUUGAUUCGGGGGUCCUUAUCUGAGUCGUCUUGGAGGGCUUACUCCGCCAUCUGGGAGCGCUGGUGGGCCAGGGGUAGGAGCGGUGAGGCGGCGUCUGACUCCGGAAGAUUGACCAUUACGCUGUCGUUCUUGGAGUCGUUGUGUGCCGCAGGUAGGUCGGCUGCAGCGGCGGAACAAUCGUUGGCUGCUCUCUCCUUUUUAUUUCGUUUUUUAGGUUGGUCAGAUGUCACCAAGGCUUUCUGUGUGUCGCGCAUUCUAAAAGGGUGGAAAAAGCGGCGCGUUCCCGACAAAAGGCGGCCGAUCUCGGGGGCCAUGCUGCUGCAGCUGUUGGAAGUUCUUCCGGAAGUGUGUAGCUCUACAUACGAGGUACUGUUAUUUAGGGUGGCAUUUUCUUUGUGCUUCUUUGGGGCGCUGCGGAUCGGUGAGCUGGUAGCCCCCAGGGCGAACUCGGUGUCAGCGUUGAAGCUUUCCGACGUCUCAGUGACGCCGGAGUGCGUGACUCUGGUGAUUCGGCGGUCUAAGACGGACCAGGCAGGCCUGGGAGCGAGGGUACGUAUCGGGCUUACUGGGGGUGUAUUUUGUCCGGGGUACUUGUUGCAAGCCUAUCUGGGCGCCAGGGGUGGCGCGGAGGGCUCAUUGCUGGUCCAUCUUAAUGGAUCUUCACUGAGCCGUUUCCAAUUUGCGAGCCUCUUGCGGAGUUGCAUUGUCAGGUUGGGUGGGGACCCCAGGUGGUAUUCCUCACAUUCCUUUAGAAUAGGAGCGGCGACGCAGGCGAGCGAACUGGGUUUCCCGAAGGAGGCACUAAUGCACCUGGGGCGCUGGGAGUCAGGACGGUUCCAGCUUUGCGUGCGCCCUCAUUUGCUGUGAUGGUAUGCCUCUGUAGACAUGUGAGUUAACCGUUAUUCUUUGUUUUGUAGGCCAAGUUCCUCGUUAUGUGUGGAUCCUGGGGCAUUCGUAUAUUUACUGGGCGGCUAGGAGGGCGGAGGACAGAUCGCAUGGUCGUAAUUUGGGGUUCCCGUCUCAGGAAGUUCGGGUACGUUGGCGGGGAUUGAGGGGGUUACGUUGGGAUCAGGUGUACGGGGAGUGCGAGCAGCUGAGUCGCUGCGUCACGGGACCAGUGACGUUGAUAGUGCAUGCGGGCGGGAAUGACGUUGGCCGACGGAGGUCGGUGGAUCUCAUUCACGACAUGCGUCAUGAUCUAGCGCGCUGUUUUGCGCUUUUUCGUGACUUGACAUUAAUCUGGUCAGAGAUAGUGCCCCGCCCGGUGUGGAAGGUGGGAGGUUAUGGGAAGGCGUUGGAACGCUGUAGGCGUAAGAUUAAUGUAGCUAUUUCGCGUUUUGUACGUAGUUUGGGUGGAAUAGUGGUUCGACACUUUGAAUUGGAAGGGAAUAAUUCGGAUGUGAUGCGUCAGGAUGGAGUUCAUUUAACCCCCAUUGGGCUUGACAUCUUUAAUGUGGGGCUGCAGUCAGGCAUUGAAUUGGCGCUGUCUGCGGGGGGGCGCGAAGCCGGCGCAGAUCAGGCUGCGGCAGGUCGGCUUCGCGGUGGCGGUUUUCCCUGGACAGCGGAAGCGAAAAGGAAAGGAGUAUGACGCAAGGUCACCUUGGGGAGACGACAGUCGUCGCAAGGCUGAUGGCUAGCGACGGCUGGAUUGGGCUCUUGGCGAACAAAGAAGGAGAACUGCCUGUUGGGUCCUCACCCAACAGCUGGCAGGAAUUAAGAAUUAAGUUUUUUACUGUUUAAUAAAGCUGUGGCCGUUGCCCUUAUCCACUUAAAAGGUGUCCAGUGUUUUAUUUGGGGGCAACGGUGGGAUGGUAAUGGGUCAGCAGUCAAGUGUCCCCCUGGACAAAUAGGGAAGGGGGAGCAUGACUGCUGCCCAGGAUAGUGGGAUGGUACAAUGGUAGCAACAAUGUUGCAAAGAUGGAAGGAUUCAUAAAGGUGAAGCAAGGGAGGAGACUUACCAGUCAGAAGGAGAUAGUCAGUCACCCUGGUUUAAUUUCCCUCCCUCCCUCCCUGUUUGGUGUUGUGGUGUGUUGGUGGUUUCGUGUUUUGUUUUCUCUCAUUGUCACAGCAGGCGGUUUUCCCUGGACAGCGGAAGCGAAAAGGAAAGGAGUAUGACGCAAGGUCACCUUGGGGAGACGACAGUCGUCGCAAGGCUGAUGGCUAGCGACGGCUGGAUUGGGCUCUUGGCGAACAAAGAAGAACUGCCUGUUGGGUCCUCACCCAACAGCUGGCAGGAAUUAGGAAUUAAGUUUUUUACUGUUUAAUAAAGCUGUGGCCGUUGCCCUUAUCCACUUAAAAGGUGUCCAGUGUUUUAUUUGGGGCAACGGUGGGAUGGUAAUGGGUCAGCAGUCAAGUAACCGCUCCAUGUGUACACAGUGACACAAAGCUGUGGCUUUGAAAAGCAGUUAGACCAGUCUAAAUGUCAAAAAUGGCUCUGAAGCUAUCAUACUGAUUAUAUCUCACGCAAAUGAUGUCAGUAUUCACACCAAACACACAAAGCAAACUGUAAACAGAGAGUAUAGACAAAAUAAUGCAUAAGGCUUUGCCUUUGAAGUGAGGAAAUUUUUUGCAAUGUGUCAACAGUGUUCCAAGAAUUUGAAUCUAAGUAUACCAAUAGAAAUAUAAACUAUAACUGAAUGUAAUUGAUCCUACAUAUAUUAAAUCAUUUUGACCUGUCUUGCCAUCUCAAAGGACAACUAAAUUUGACUUACAUGGACCAAAUGUCUAGCCGGAGACCUUGGAAAUCCUGACUUCAAAGAGAAAACUGGUAAAAGGAAAAAUAGGUUAUGUAAUAACUAUAGUUUGUUUAAGUAUAUCUUCCUGAGUACUUUUCACAAAUGUCCAUCUUGUCAACUGACAUUUAAAAAUGAGUUUGAGAAAAAUAAUUUGGAUAAUACUAGUGUGAGUAUAAAAAAAGAGAUAGAGAAAUAUUUCAUUAGACUUGAAUCUCAUUUAGAGGAUGAAUGGAUAAGUGAGUCAAUAAAUAAGCUCUCUCAUACUUAAUUGACACUCCUACGCAUUUGAUAGGUUUUGACCUCAUUUUUUGCAGGCUCAAAUCUUUAUAGUUUCUGCACAAAAAAUAAUGUUGCACCAUAAACCUCCCUACGUAGCAACGCCCCCUCAUGGCAGAAUGACUUCCUUAUCAAACGUAUGCACAUAAAUCUCCCUCUAAUAGCACUGAGUGAGCUGCUUUUAAUACACAACCUGGCUGCAGACAGUCAGAGAAACUAUAAACAGCUACAGAAUCCUUACUUUUUGAUUCCAUGGCUGUCCUUUCCUUCUAAUGCUGGUUACUUUGUAGUUCAGAUCAUGCAGGACUGUCGGUGUCCCUAGUUCAUACCUCCCAACAUCGGCAGUGCCAGAAUCAGGACACUGGUGGGAGCAGGUAAAGAGGAUGGGGCCUGAGAAGCACCCAAAGGAGAAAGACCUGCACAAAAAGGGGUCUGGUGAAUCACACCAGACUGCCUGCCAAUCAUUUUAGCCAGCCGACUAAGUGCCCUGAACACAGUGCGACUGCAACUUAUGAUGCGCUCAUGCUAUGAUUGUUGGGGACAGUUCCUUGGUGUCCCCAAAACUGGGACAGCAGAGAACUAAGGCAGGACAUCGAAAAAUAACCCAAAAAUCAGGAUUGUCCUGCCAAAACUGGUACUAUUGGGAGGCAUGCCCAAGUGUCAUCUAAUAACUGCCCUAAUUUCAGGCAAACCAGGGCAUAUAUACUCUGGUCUGCCUGGGAUUACUGGAAGUUGCUCCUUUGGAGGUGACUAAAGGAAAGCAAUAAUUGAGGAGAGUCUCUGGAAACAGUUUAAGUUGUAAGUAUGGCAAGUUACCAUGUAAAUCUCCCAUGUUAAAAUUAGUGUAGGAUCUACCAAUAUUGGGGUACUGUGAUGUAGUGGUAAGCUGAACACGAUAUGGCGUAACUGAAUCCCCAAAUUUGUUUGCUAAGAUAGUUGAUUUUAAGUAGCCUUGUAAAAUGUAAAACUGUAUUUUUUUUGUGUGUGAGCUGUUCCUCAAUCUGUAUUAGUGGAAGUUACACUACGGAGCAGCAGAUUCCACCAUUAUUACGAUGGCAGCCACCAAGGAUUUUAAUUUCCGCUAAUCUCAGCGUACCUAGCAUACCAUCUUCCUUUUCCAUUCCCUAUUCCAUCUUGCUUUUUAAAUUCUCCACAUCUUACCCUUCUUGUUUUCUAUUUUUAUUGCAUCUCCUGGUCCCCUAUUUGCCAAUCUUUUCCUUGUGCUGAUCUAGCCCCAUCAUAGCUUUUUUUUUUUUCCCAGCAAGACGGGGCACCUCCUCAUAAUGCUGUAAGGGACUACCUUGACAACACCUUUCCACAGCAUUGGAUCAGACGAUGUGGCAGCAUUGAAUGGCCCCCGCCAUUCACCAGACUUAACACCAAUAAACUUAUUUUUUUUGGUGUGUAGUAAAGCAUAAGGUUUUGGAGAGGAAUCCCAGGUAAUGGCCGAAUUAAAACAGUUCAUCUCUGAAGCAUUUAAGGACAUUGAUGUGGACCAGAAUUUGUUUCGUACGGUGUGUCACAGUGUACUGGAUAUGCUUGAAGAAUGUUGCAACGCUGAUUUAAGACAUUUUGAGUGCUUGUGAAAUUAAAUAGUGUUAAACGAAUUUAAAUGUGAC